rnacentral:lncRNA from 1 species
UGGGAGAGUGGUGGAGUUGCAUUUGGGCUUUGUAGUAGGAUGGCCACAUACCUUGAGGAGAGUCCGGAGGGAUUUAAGAAUAUUAGUGAUUGGUGAUUGGGGUCUACGGAUUUAAUAUGAAGUAUGGGCUAUUAUGCGUCAGAAGACUUGAUAUAAUGGAAAGGAGUUGCUUGAAAUGAAGAAUGAUGCAACAUAACUUUAAAUGGGAAGGAUAUUGCCUCAUAUUUAAUUGAUGUCCAUGAGGGGUGAAAGGACAUAUGCAGCUAGAGGGUUAGCUCAGACUCAGGAUUGGUUAUUGAUGUUAUGGUGAUUGUACCCUGUGCAAGAACGUUAGAAGAUGUCGGAAAGUUAUUUCAAUGGGUAGGUUAUUCCAUGUGAGCAGUUUAGUGGUCGCGUGGUUGGCGAAGCUUCUGUGGAGAGUUCUAUUGGUUAUACAUCAAAGAGAUCUGUUGUGAAAAUGUGUUUGAAUGGUUCAGAAUAUAAAAGGGGGUUUUACAGAAAUAUUUUGAGAAUUUUGGCGGUUGACUGCGCAAGGUUGUGUCAAUAAGAGAUUAAGAAUCCUGUCGAAUUCCAGAGUUGUGUAAUAAAUGGCUUCGAGCCAAAUGCGAGAGUCCCACUGCCUACGAUUGGGUUGUAUGGUUAUUUUCUUGUGAGGUUUCGGCUUAUCGACAUAUUGGUAAGUUAUUUUAUCAACGGGAAAAGAGCAUAAGUGGUAAUUUGAGCAAAUGGAUUGUUAAAGGUGUGCUAUGUUGGCUCAUGUUCAAACUUGGGGAUUAAUUAUGUCGGGUGUUCCGUCGAGAGGGUAUGCUUGUGCUGGGAGAAUCAUUGAGUUGAUUAUAUUCGGGCCAAGUUAGAGUGGGCGGCUCUCAGCAAUGAUCCUAGUGGAUUAAAAGGGGUAAGGUGUGGUGCCUAAUGAUUUUGAGCUUAUAGUUAGUUAAGAACCAAGCUUGAUAGCAGCCUAUGAGAAGAAGCAGAGAAUGUUCUAUGAUGUUUUGGCUUGCGAUGUAGCAAUUGAAAGGUAUGAAAUGGUUUGUUAGAUUGGAGACAGCAUGGUCUCAUGAUUCAGGAUCAUUCGGGAUGAGUGUGGAUGGAGUGUGUUAAGUCUUGAAUGGAGUUAUCAUUAUUUCUAUGGCAAUCAAGAACAAAUUUGAAGAAGGGGGACUGGUUAGCCAUAGUCGAUUGACAUGUUGCUGGUAGUAAUCAAUUCUUUCAGAGUGACUAAGUUAUGUAAGUGAAUUGUGAUGGAGAUUGCGAGGCCUGUCGGUUGCCGUAGUUGGUGUUAUUCAGAAAUUAUUCUACUGUUGUGGCUUGUUAUGUGGAGGUGAGCCCCGGAAGGGCUAUAGUGGCCUAGACCACUACUUAGUAAUUUGCAUAUUCUACGGCCAUGAGAAUUCACCUGUGUGUCGCUAUGGUUCUCCUAAAGUGAGUUGAGCAAAAAGUUUUAUAUGAUGAAGUGAUAAUCUAAUAGUGGUUCUGAAUCUAUGAUGAAAAACGUGUUCUAUCGUAUAUUGGCAUGUUGAGUGCAGUGAGUAGUAUGGAAUUUGAAGUGAAUACCAAGGUUGAAGUUCGGUGUUGACAAGGUUGUCAUGAGCUCGGAUGAGCUGGAAAGGAGUUUCGAUGUUUGAAGUAAGAUGGUAUUGUCCUCAGCGUCUCUUGAGAUUGGUGGUUUGUGAAAAAGGCUUUGCAUCCCGGUUAAUGAUUCUUGGCCUCUUUUCAGUAAUAGUGCGGCACGUGGUUUGGAGGUAUGGCCCAGUUAUUUGUUAUGGUAGGUUAGGGGGAGUGUGUCCCACAUGGAGGUUGUAUGGCAUGUAGUCACUCAAUAGAUUAAAGAUUUAAACCGAGUAUGAAGGUUGUAGUAAUGUCGCUAAAUUAAACAUUGAUGCCUGGAGGGCUCAUGACUUAUUGAGUUGUGGACUGUGGAUGAUUACUAUGGUUGUGAUGGUUGUUCUUGUGUGUUAUGAGGAGAGGGAAGCUAGUAUGGGCCUUUGAAAGGUUAUUAUCCUACUGCAGUGCGAUCAGAAUCAUCUUGAGGUCUGUGGAUGGAUCUAAAUUGGAAUACGACCUCUAAAUUAGACCAUAUGUGUUCAUUUAAAUAAUGCACUCCUUAUGGAAGAGUAGUCAGGGCGUUAUUUUAUCGUCAUCCAUUUCAUGUAACGAUGUAUUGCGCCGCGCGAGUUGUGUGAUGGCUUGGUGAAUUUCUUAUGUGUUGAGGUUCCACGUAGAGGUAGGUUAUUGAACAAGAUGGCUCUUGAGAUUCAGAUCGUAUAUCACACCUCAGUUGUGCUUGAGUUUUGUAUCUUAUGGCGCAAUAUGUCUCCCCAGAGAUGAUAUCAUGCGCUUAGCGUACUUGUGACCAAUAUCUAGUAUUUUAUUAUAAGGAGAAAUUAAGCUCGAUGUAUAUUUCCUUAUGUGACUUUUAUGUAUAGAUCGAAUGGCACGCCAUCAUAGGUAUGUUAUUUGGAUCGAUUUGCGCGCCGCAACAGUGUAAUAUUGAAUACAAUUUUCUAUAUGCUAUUUUUAUUUGAUUUGUUUCCCAUUUUCUAAGAAAAGUCCAUAAUAGUGUGUGAGUUGAAUAUUUCCUUCUAGAGUUCAUUUUCUGUUGUAUCGCGUUCAAUAUGGUAGCCUACUUGCACAUUGUAGCAUCAUUAUAAAGCUUUUGAUCAACGGUUUAUAACCAGAGCAGUUCAUACUGGGUGAGACGAGAUCAUUGGAUUUAAGAUCAGUGCAAUCUGAUUAUGGGAAAUACAUUAAGAAGUUAAGACCAUUAUUCGAUUCAGAAUGAAGUGAUGGUUCUCGUAAGAAGUAUAGACCAAAUGAUUUGUUAAUUCGGUAGUUGGUUAUGAAUUUCUACCCAUCUCUUCCAUCGUGGUGGUAUUAUAAGAGCUAGAGCAAAGCCUAAGUAGGUCAUGAGGUGCAAUGGGAGCAUCAGAUUUGUGGAAUUUCGGUUUAUUUGAUCAGAGAAUGUCAUUAUGGUUUUGUGAGUAAAGUGGUGCAAGGUGUGAAUUUAGCUAAGGUAUGCAGCCAUGUUUUGGUGCUGCGUGUAGUUAUUGAUAUGGUGUUUAGAUAUUAGAAGCAAGCCUGAUAGAGAAUUUCGGAUAUUGGAAUUAGGCUCUAAGCUUAUUUUCUUGAAUGAUAGGGGAUAUCUUCAGAAUCAAUAGAGCUAAUGUGCUCAAUUGGGUUGUGGUAGCACGGGAAGGUGCAUGAGGUGUGAAACGGUGAUUUCAGACUACUGAAGUGUAGUUCUCAGCACGUUCGAGGAUGAACCUAUGUUUAAGUGGGAGGGAAUGUAAUGACCCGAUCGGUCGUUUUGAGCUCUAGCGCGCCGUUCAACAGUUUGAGGCCAUGAGAAGCUUCAUUUCAGGUGUUAUGACUUGUAUGCGUGGUUGGAAUUAAACUUUGGGAAGUUCGAAGUUGAUUUGGAAAGAUAAUUCUCAUCUCGGAAGCUUUAAGUUGAAAGAAUUAACUAAGAUUAAAUUUUUAAGUAAGCGGCCUCGAAAUCGGGAUCUAAAGGUUCCAGCAGGUUCGUAUGAUGAUUUCAGACUUGGGCGUAUGUCUGGAUUGGGUCUUGGAUGACGCAAGAGCAUUUUGGCACCUAUUGUGGAAGUUAGCAUUUUGGAAGAAAUUUCAUAAGUUUGGCUUGAAGUGCAUUUCAACAUUAUCGAUGUUCAUUUGGGAUUUCGAGUUUCUCAAUAGCUCCAUAUGGUGAUUCUGGAGUUGGGAGCACGAUCUGAAGUGAAUUCAGAGGUCUGUAGGUUGGAGUUAUUUGGCUAAAGAUAGAAAUUUGAAGGUUUUUGAGAAGUUUGGCCGCAAGUGUACUUUAGAUAUCGGGGUCGGAAUCCGAUUUCGGAAGUGGCAGUAGGUCUGUAAUGUCAAAUAUGACUUGUCUGCAAAAUUUGAAGUCAAUCGGACAUGAUUUGAUACGUUUAAACAUCGAAAGUAGAAGUUGGAAAUUUCAAAGUUCAUUAAGCUUGGAUUGGGGCGAUUCAUGGUUCUAGAAUUGUUUGAUGUGAUUUGAGACUUUGAGCAAGUCCGUAUUAUGUUUUUAGACUUGUGCAGGUUUUUGGUUUGGAGCUCUGGGGGCUUGGGUGUGAUGCAGAAUAGCUUCGGAGUGCUAAGAAAUAGGAUUGCUGAUACUGGUAUGAUCUCAUUUGCGAUGCAGUAGUCACAAAUGCGACCUCGCAUUUGCAAGUUUCCGUUCGCAUUAGCGAGCUUGGGGUUCUAGGGGAAAGUUCGCAUUUGCGAACGAGGGAUAAAUUUUGCAAGGUUGUCGCCUUCGCAAUUGCGAAGGAUAUUGUCGUAAAUGCGACCAAGACAGGGUGGGCUAGGCUUCGCAUUUGCAAUACAAUUGUCACAAAUGCGACAUCGCAGUUGUGAGCCUAGAGUCGCAAAUGUGAUUUCUGCGUUUGGAGCUGUGGAUUUUUAUUCCGAGACUUAGCCCAUUUCCCUCAUUUUACACUUGGCCUUAGGCGAUUUUUGAGAGCAUCUGAGGAGGGAUUCCAUCAUCAUCAAAGAGGUAGGUAAUUUCUACACAUCAUAAGUUAAAGACAUAGAUUAUGGGUAGAUUUAACAUGUGAAAAUUAAGGAAAAUAAAGGUUUUAGAUGAAAAACCUAGAAUAUGGUAAAAACUAGAUUUAACCGCGAAAAUUGUUAGGGAAUGAAGUAUAAAUCAUAUAUUCUUGAUACUUAGUUUAUGGGUCAUAAUUUACUUCAAAUAUUUUCGGAAUCCGGGCGCGUGGGCCCAAAAAUGAAUAUUAGGAACCUUGUAUUUAAAGUUGGGAAAUUGGUUUAAUAAUUAGAAUAUGAACUUUUGAGCAUGUAUUGACUAGUUACCCUAUUUGAAUAGUUUUGGAGUGUUCGGCUCCGAAUCUGGAAGUUUGAGCUUGUUCUUGAAUCGGAAUAUAGGCUUCAGAGCAAGGUGAGUCUCCUUUCUAACCUUGUAAGAGGGAUUUGUCCCCAUAGGUGAGUUAAUUGGUUAUGUGAUCCUAUUUGUGAGGGCUAUGUACGCACGAGGUGACAAGAGUCUGUGCUUAGCUACUAUUAUACUAUUGUCCGGGUAGUCUAGGGCCCAAAAGCAUGAUAUACUUGGAUUAUUUGUGAAUUUAUUGACAGCUUGAAUUGCUUAAAUCACGUCGGAUUAGUAAAUGCAUUUCUAAAAAGAUAAAACUUCAUUUUUCUUAAUUGUUUAAAAGAGGAUUUGUUUUCAUUGGAUAAUUACUCUGUGUGGACUUCUUGAUUGAUUGGUUGUGUGUGUUUAUUUUUGAAACGAGAAGAGUUUGUGCGUAGCUACUAUUAUGCUAUUGUACGGGUAGUCUAGGACCCAAAAACAUGUCGUACUUGGAUUAUUUAUAAACUUAUUAACAACUUGAAUUGCUUAAAUCACAUAGAAUCAGUAAAUGAAUUUCAAAAAGGAUUAAACUUUAUUUUUCUUAUAUAAGUAAAGGAAAAAUUGGCUUUUACUGAAACAAACAUUUCCCGAUAAACUCUUAAUUGGCUGUUUGACUGUGUAUAUCUAUAUAUGUUCCCCCGUCACAUGUAUGAUUCGUGAGCGGGAUAUUUGUUUAUUUAAUGUUGACCGCGUCGCAUGUAUGAUACGCGAGCGGGGUAAUAGAUUCAUCUAUGGUUCGAGCCGUUCGACCCUCGGCAGUGCACAAUUUACAUUCCUGUUGGACCGAGUCAGCUCGACAUGAUUUGCACAUACUUGUAUUUCUUGCCUUGAGAUUAUUUGAGAUUGAUAUUUUCUCUCCCCGACUUGAGAUAAUUGGAAACAAUUGGAUCAUGAAUGCGAAGACUUUUAAUAUAAAAAGGAACUUUCACCUGGUCAUUGCUUACUUGAAUUUACUAUCAUUCUUAAUAAUUCCUUGGUUAUUUGCAUUAAUAAAAUAUCAUUAUUGGACUAUUAGUAAUGUCAAAGUCGAUCAUCUCGUCUCUACUUCUUCGAAAUUAGACGGGAUACUCAUUGGGUACACGUUGUUUUCGUACUCAUACUACACUUCUGUGUAUUUUUGUUGAAUAGGCACUUAUAUCUCUAGUGGCCUACUGGGCGUAGUAGCAUGGUUGAUAUGGAGACUUAGGUGAGCUGCACUUCUCGAGACGACCCGCAACCAGCAGAGUCUCUUUCAUUUUUUUCUGUAUUUAUUUAUGUCCAAUAUUAUAUUCCGGGUUGUUGUAUUGUAUUAUUUCCUAGAAAUUGCUCAUGCACUUGUGACACCGGGUUCUGGGAUGGUUAUAGAAUUAUUCAAUAUUGUGUUGGUUAAAGACAUUUUUCUUAUUUCAAUAAAUUUCAUUACUUGAUGUUUAAACGUAUAAAAGGAACAUUUUCAAUAAGUUUUAAAAACAAGAAGUUUCUAGUUAUUGGUUGAUAGCUUGCCUAACAGCGGUGUCCGGCGCCACCACGACCCUUAAAGAAUUUUGCAUCGUGACAACAAUUACAACAGCAACAAUGACAAUAUAUACAAGAACACGACAAAUGAAUAAACUCAAGAACUUUCGUUCACUAGGAGACGAAAAAACUAGCUCACAAGGAAUAACCAUAAUAGAGAAUACUAAGCAUAAUAAGAACAACUCAACAAGGGAGAAAAUAAUAUGAAGCAACGAUACCAUAAUUUGUAGUUCAACAACAAGGAAGUCAACAUGAAUCAAAUAAUUUCAAAUAAGGAAAUGUCAAGUAAAAAUAGGAUAUCUAAACUUCUUUUAAAGUUGGACAAGUUACGAAGGAUAUACAAUAAUUUUCAAUUAAGGAUGAGCAGCGUGAAAAUAAUCAUACCCUCAAUUAAGACUAAAUAAUUACAUGAGAGAUAGUAUUGAUUUUUGAUAAAGCCAAGCAGUUAUGAAAGAUAACAUGACAAUAGAGGAGGUAAGGUUCUUCAGUGCAUCAAAGUAAGAGUCAAUUAGGCAAAUAGAAUGAAUCAUAAAGCAAUUAAUUCCAAGUAAAACAUGUAGAGGUGAAACUGGUAAUAGGGAAUUCAAUCAUUCAAGAACAACUUGGUACUCAGUGAAUAUAAGGAUCUAAGAACCCUGAAAGGCCAAUUUUUCCCCAAAUAAGUCCGAACACACUCGUCACCUUGCGUACACGGAUUACAAUCAAUAGAGAAGACUCAGAUCUUAAAGAGAAGUCCCCCACACAAGGAUAUGCAAGAACUUACCUCGAACCGACUCAAAAUCAACUAGAAACCACGUUCUUGCCACGAGUACUCAACUCCAAAUGGCUCAAAAAUAUAUUCAGUUUAAUUUCAUAAUGUAAAUAAUAUUUCAAGUAACCGAUUCUACAAUUAAAUUCUAAACGAAUAAGCAAAAUUAUGUAAAAUGACUAAAAUGCCCCUUGGGCCCAUGUCUCGGAAUCGGGUAAAAUUUAUAUUUUCGAAAACCUCAUACUCUUAUGAGCCUCGCUAUACCAAAAUUAUCCAAAUCCAUUGUCAUUUGGUCCCCCAAACCAUGAUUUUUUUUCACUUUGAAUUUUUCUUCAAAAACCAACUCUUUCCCCAACCCAAAAUACAAUUUAAAUGGUAAAAAUAAAGAAAAAUUCAUGGAAUAUAUUUAAUUCUAUUUGAAGAACACUUACCCAAUCAAAUUUCGUGAUAAACCCAACAAAAAUCGCUAAGAAUCGAGCUCUAGAAGUCAAAAUGUGAAGAAAAUGGUGAAACCCUUGAGUUGGAAAACUUAUAUUCUGCCUAGAUGUUUAAAGCAUCCGAACGCGGAGGCAAUAUCGCGUUCGCAAAGAAGAAAAUGAAGGCUGCCCAGAUGUGCUUCGUGAAUGCGGAAGAACACACGUGAACACGAAGAAGGAAAAUAUUAUGGCCCGGAGAUUGCUCUUCGCUAACGUGUGAACUAGUCCGCGAACGCGAAGAGUGGAAUUGCAUAACUACGCGAACUCAUGAUGGGAAAAGCAAACGCGAUGAGGAAUAAAGAAGAGCAUUGCGAAGGUGAUAAGUGUUACACGAACGCGAAGAAGAAUUGCCAGGUGGUCAGCAACAAAGCUUCGCAAACACGAAAGGCUAUUUGCGAACGCGAAAGAGGAUACUAGAAGCAGAAAACAACAGUUCAAAAUAGGAGAAAAUAGCCCGUUACCCACCCAGAACAAACUCGAGGCCGUCUGGGAUCUCAACCAAAUGCAUCAACACAUUCUAAAACCUUAUUCAAACUUGUUCCAACCUUCGGAAUGCUAAAAACAACAUCAAAAUACCGAUUUUUCAUUGGAUUCAAGCUUAGAAAUCUCAAAAACUCUAAAAAUAUAUUUUCAAUCGAAAAGUCUACCAAACCUUGUCCGGAUGAUCUGGAAUUUUGCACACACAACACAUUCAGCAUUACGGAGAUAUUCCAACUUCUAGAAUUCCAUUUCGGCCCUCGGGUCAAAAUCUCACUAUCAAACCGGAAACUUCCAAAAUUCAACUUUCGGCAUUUAAAGCCUAAAUUAGCUACGGACCUCCAAAAUACAAUCCGAAUACAUUCCUAACCCGAAAUCACCCAACAGAGCUAAUGGAACCAUGGAAUUUCCAUUCCAAGGCCGUCUUCAUACUGUUUCGACUAUGGUCAACUUUCUAAUACUUAUGCUCUCAUUCUGAGAAUAAGUGUACCAAAAGUCACCGAUAUUUAAAAUCGAACAUCCCGGCAAUUCUCUUUUAGCAGAAAUAAACUUGAGGAAAGAAAUUAAUAAGUAAUUGGGUCAUUAAUUCCUAAGACAACCGUCCGGGUCGUCACACAAGUCACUUGCAAUUUCCUUCAAGAUUUUCAAGAUUCUAUCCAAGAUUGGUUUGGGACUUAUUCCUAUAUAUUAUGCGACAAUAUUUAUUGCUUUCCUAGUUUAUUAAAUGUUUUCCUUUUACUAAGAUUUUUGGAAUUACUUUCCAAGAAUGACUUGGUUUUUGCUUCCUAGUAUUUUCCUUUUCCUAAGGUAGUUGGAAUUUUGUCCAAAGUAGAUUAGGACUUUAUUUCCUUGUUUCUUAGGUAGAAUUUAGGGGUGUUCAUAAAAGUUCUAAAAACCAAACCAAACCCAAAAUCGAAACAAACCGACCAAAAAAUCAAUACGUUUUAGGUUUGAUUUGGUUUUGGUUUUGAAUUUUAAAAAUCGAUCAAAAUUGAUUUAUUUUUGGUUUAAAUAAAAAAAUAAUCGAAAAAACCCGAACCAAAAUGACAAUAAAAGUAGCUAUUUAAAUUUAUUACUACACCUAUAUAUAUGUAUAUUUUUAUAUAAAGUUUCUAAAAUUUUAUGGCACAUAUUAGUCAUUUGUAUUAUUUAAUCUAGUUCUUUGCUAUAUAAUCAUCUAAUUCUUUACCUUUACAUUCUAGUUUGAUGCAUACUUUUAUUUUGCUAAAUACAAGAAUUUAUUUCAUGUUAAAAACAAUCAAUUUUUAAUUGAGUACUAAAAUUAUUCAUCACUAUUUGAUUCAAUUAUCAUCAAUAUAUCUUGGUAAAUGAUAGAUUUCUCAAAGAACAACUGGUUUGAUAAUGUUACGUUGAAAAUAUAGUCGCCGAAAUAUGUGUUUGAUGGUGUAUGUCUCAUAUUUAAGAAAAAAUACGAUAAAUAACCGAAAAACCCAAAUCGAUAAAAAAUCGACUUAAUUGGUUUGGUUUGGUUCUAAUAUUUAAAAAUCUGACUUACUUGAUUCAGUUUAUUUUUAGGAAAAAAUCGACCCAAACUGAACCAUGAACUUCCCUAGGUAGAAUUUCGCGACCCCCUCUAUAUAAAGGGUAUCUUCUUUAUUUUUAGGCUUAGAUUAUUCAGAUUAUUAUCAAUAAAAAUAGUGAGAUUUUUCUUGCAUUCUUGUGUGUGGCUACUCUAGGAUUUAUUCUUCAACCUUCAAGACUCAACAUAAGGUGGUAAUAUUAGACUCUUUCGAAAUCUUAGAUCACUUCUAGGUAUUCAAGAAAGGUGAUAAGUUUAGGCUUAUUGUUGUUCUUGUUAUUCUAAAGGGUCGGGUUCCACAAUCUAUCUCUUGUUUUUAAUUUUCUACCAAAGGCGAUUAGUUCUUUGUUAGCUAAUUGUUGUUGUUAUGAUUCAACUUCAAGAAUAGACUUCUUGAAUUCAAGAAACUCUUUCUUGAAUUCAAUCUAUUUUUAAUUUUGUCUUCUUUUUUGUUAUUUAUUUUCUUUUAACUUCCACACAUUUUUUGAUUUUUUUUAUUUUUCUUUAAUAAUUGUUGAAUCUCCUAUCGUAUUGUUAUCAUGUCGUUUUUUGUUUCUUUAAUUUCUUUUAGCUUCAGCACGUUUCUUGAUUUUCUUGUUUUUCUUUAGUAACUCUUGAUUCCCCUAUCGUGUUGUUAUCACCCUAGAUGAGAUCUUUCCAAGAUAGUUUCUUCCUAAAUUCAUUGGUAAGUGACUUUAAUCUAUUUCUUUUCAAUUAUCCAUUACAUUUUAUAAAUUUUCAACAUAAAACCUAGAAUUUUCAUGGUAGAAAUUAUGGAUUUUGCUAGAAUUAGGGAUUUUUGUCAAUUUUGGAUUUACUCCUGGAAUUGAGGUUGAAAUUUGAAACUAAUUACAUAACAGAGCUCGAGGGUGAAUUGGUGAUUGGGGUUUGGUCUGAAUCUUACUUUUUGACCAAGCGGACCCGGGUUGACUUUUUUUGAAAUCAUUAAAGAUUUCAAGCGGGUUUUUAAUGAACCAUGAGCAUUACAUCGCAUAAAGUUUAAAGUUGGCUUAUUGAAGAUAUUAAAUUUGGUUUGGAGUAGGUUUGGUGUUAUCGAGGUCUAUUUGGAAUCUCGAUCCAUGGAAUAGUUUUGUAUGGUGAUUUAAAACUUGCAUACAAAAUUUGGUGUUCCAAGUAGUUUGUCUAUGACUCGGCGCGUUCGGAGCAAGUUGGAAGAAUUUGAAGUUCAUAAGUUGUUUCAAUUUGGUUUUGGGUGUGAUUCCUAGUUUUGGUGUUGUUUCUCGUGUUUAGAGAGGUCGACUAGGUACGCCUUUUGUGAACUUAUUGGUAUGUUUAGGCAAGGGCCUCGAGUUUCAUUCAGACCAUGCGUAGACCAAGUUUGGACUUAAUAGAACUAUUGGUGCAUCAAUUUUGGCCGCAGGUGCGAGCUUUUGGCUGCAAAAGCAGCCUGGUGUGGGCUGCCCAGUGGUCGUAGAAGCAAGAUAGGGGGUGCACCUGCAAAAGCGCAGGUGCGAAUCAGGCAAAGGUAGAAGCGGGCAAGGACGCAGGUGCGACACGUACGCCGCAGACGUUGGCUCGCAGAUGUGAGCCAUUUUUUGCAGAUGUGGAAGUAGGCAGCUGGGGAAAAGCCUCAUCUGCGAUUCAUUUUUCGCAGAUAUGGAGCUGCAAAAGAGGAAAUUGCUAGAGGAAGAAAUGUUCUUUUAAGACGAGACUUAGGCCAUUUUGGUUCAUUUAUUCACUUCUUGUGCAAUAUUUGAAGCUUCUUAGAGAGAGGUUUUCACCUAGCUAUUAAAGGUAAGUAAGUGCUAUCUAAUGUAAGUUAAAUACAUAAAUUAUGGGUAUAUUUUAACAUGAAAAAAUUAUGGGUAUAGAUGAAAAACCUAGGUUUUGAUAAAAAUGAGAUUUAACAACGAAAAUAAUUAUGAAAUUGGGUGAGAAUGAUAUAUUUGAGUUUGUAAGGUUAUGGGUAAUAAUUAUCUUCGAAAAUUUUCGAAAUUCGGGCACGUAAGUCAGAGGGUGAAUCUUAGGAAUCUUCCAAUUAGGGGUGGGUAAUUACCAUAAUAGUUAAAUUAUGAACUUUUAAGUAUAUAUUGACUUAUUUAUAUAAUAUUAGGCUAGUUUCAGGUUGUUUGGAACCGAGUUGAGGAUUUAAAGCGUAUUUGUGGGUCACAAGUGAUCUUAAGAACGAGGUAGGUCUCUUGUCUAACCUUGUAAGAGGAAACUCAUUCCCUUAGGUGUAUUUUGUUGUGAAUUACUUGUGUGGGAGCUACGUACGCACUAGGUGAUGAGAGUCCGUGCGUAGCUACUAAUUUUCUUAUGUCCGGGUAGUUUUAGGUUUACAUCAUGCCUUAAUUGUACUAUGUCCGGGUAGUCUUAGGUUUACAUCAUGCCUUAACUGUACUAUCAUAUUUGUUAUGCAUAUUAAUUAUCUUGAAUAGAGAUGCGACUAGAUUUUAAAGUUGGAAACUUCCAAGUUAGAUUUCUUAUUUAGGGGAAAUAAAUAAAGAAUAUUUAGUAACUAUGAGAAAUCCAUGUCUUGUCACGUCACAAGUACUUCUGCAAGCGAGGUAAGCUUCUCUUUUGUCAUGGGAGCGGGCCGUUCGCUUCGGAAAUUUAAUAACUGCAUCUAUGCUUCGUGUCGUUCGACCCUUGGCAAUGCACAUAGUAUAAUUUUUGAUCGUGCCGUAAGAUUUUAGCAUAAAUUAUGCGUGAUAAUACUCAAACCCUUAUUCCGCUUGAUAUUGUUUUAUGGCUUGAGAGGCUAUAAUUUAUUUAAUGAUAGAAAUUUAAUUGGGAUUAGUAUAUGUUGGCUAGAGAUUUUUUGGAAUUUAUUUUUCAGUUAAGGAACCAUUUAUUCACUGCUUAUUAUUAUUAUUAUUAUUAUUAUUAUUAUUAUUAUUAUGUUGUUGUUGUUGUUGUUGUUGUUGUUGUUGUUGUUAUUAUUAUUAUUAUUAUUAUUAUUAUUAUUAUUAUUGGGUCUAUGUAGUAGCUAAAGAAAUUCUUGCUAUAGUUAGAUGUGUUACGAAAUUUCAAACUGAUUUAUACAAUAAGAAAUUCUUGAUUAAAAUUGAUUGUCAAGCUGCAAAGUUUAUCUUUAAUAAAGAUUUUAAACAUGAUGUUUCAAGACAGAUGUUUGCAAGGUGGCAAGUUUUAUAGCCCCUUUUGAUUUCGAAAUAAUAUACAAAAAAAGGUCUGAUAAUAUUCUUCUUGAUUUCCUUACAAGAGAAUAUUUGAACUAUUAUUAUUAUUAUUAUUAUUAUUAUUAUGAUGAUGAUGAUGAUGAUGAUGAUGAUGAUCAUCAUCAUCAUCAUCAUCAAGUUACAUACUUGUUUAGAAUUUCUCCAUUUUAUUAUUGGCCCAUAGUCAGUGUUGAUGUCGGUCCCUCGUCACAAUUUCUCCACUUCUGCACUAACUUGUGCAGGAUCUAAAGUAGGUGCAUGUAACGACCCGACCGGUCGUUUUUAGCUUUUGCACUUUGAUCGCCAGUUCUCGGGUAUGAAUUUCCCCGUGUAAUGUAUUAUGACUGAUGUAGAUCAUUGGUUUUGGUUUUCGUGAAACAUUUGGAAUGAAUUUGAAAGAACAAUCUCAGUUGAAAGCUUUGAAUUUGAAAUGUUUGACCAAGAUUUGACUUAUUUGGAUAUGAGCCCGGAUCGGAAUUUUUAUAAUCUGGUUAGUUUUGUUGGGUGAUUUAUGACUUAGGAGCGUGAUCGGAAUUGGUUUUAGAAGUCCGGGGUAGAAUUAGGCUUGAAUUGGCAAAGUUGAUAUUUUGACGAUUUCCGGUUGGUAGAUGAGAUUUUGAUCCGAGGGUCGAAAUGGAAUUAUGAGAUUUUCAGUAGCUUCGUUAUGUCAUUUGGGAUGUGCGUGUAAAAUUUCAGGUCAUUUGGAUGUGGUUUGGUCGGGUUUUUGAUCGAAAGUGUAUUUCAGAAGUUUUUGGAAACUUAGGCUUGAAUUCGAUGAGUUUUGGAUAAUUUGAUGUUGUUUGAGGUGUUUUGAUGAUUGGAACUGGUUUGAAUAAUUUAAUGGGAUACGUUGGCAUAUUUAGUUGAGGUCUCGAGGGCCUCGUGUGAGUUUCGGGUGGUCAAUCGGACCACUUUGUGCCUUAAAAGAUAGCAGAAAAUUUGCAGGUUCAGAGUUGCAGGAUUUUUGUUCUCUGCGAUCGCAUAAGAAACUUAGGCUUGAAUUCGAUGAGUUUUGGAUAAUUUGAUGUUGUUUGAGGUGUUUUGAUGAUUGGAACUGGUUUGAAUAAUUUAAUGGGAUACGUUGGCAUAUUUAGUUGAGGUUGAGGUAGUUUUAGGUGGGUGGUCAAUCGGACCACUUUGUGCCUUAAAAGAUAGCAGAAAAUUUGCAGGUUCAGAGUUGUAGGAUUUUUGUUCUCUGCGAUCGCAUAAGAGGUCUUGCAAUCACAUAAGAGUAUCUUUGGGGGUUGUUCUAUUGUUCAUUGCAUUCGCAUAGUAUAGCUUGCGAUCACAUAGUUUGGGGAAAUUGUUCUUCGGCGAACGCGGUUGAGGCUUCGCGAUCGCACAGAGUAAAGUUGACCUGAGGUCUUAGUUGGGUUUUUUUCAUCAUGAACGCGGCCGCGACCGCAUAGAAUUAUUUGGGCAGUGCAUUGCGAUCACAUUGUGUUUGGUGCAUUCACAUAGAGUUAAUUUUGGAAGCUGAAGAUUUGUUCUUCACGAUCGCGAGGAAUGUUCAGCGAUCGCAUAGAAGAAAAUACCCUUGGGCAGAAUGUUUUUAAAAUCAUCUUGUUCACGAAUGUGGGUCUAUUUGGCUGCUCAUUUUUGGAGAAUUUUGAAGGAAAAUAAGGAGGGAUUCAAGAGGAAUCGACUUAAGUUAAGAAUCUUGGUCUUAAUACUUGAUUAUAUUGUGAUAUCCACCUAGAAAUUCAUGAAAAUUGAAGAACUAGGGCUUGAGAUUUUGAAAUUCUAUUUAAGGAUUUGAAAGAUCAUUAGAGGUCGGAUUUGUGAACUUUUGGUAUGUAUGAACUCAUAAGGAGAUAAAGAAUCUAUUGAUGUGAACUUUUUUGAGUUUCGAGAAGUGGGCCCAGAGCUCGGGUUUUGGUAAUUUCGGGAUUUAUGCCCGUUAUUGAUUGUUUUCGCUUGGGUUUUGUUCCCUUAGCAUAUUGUGAUUUAUUCACUCUGAUUUUGGAUAGAUUCGACGUGUGUGGAGGCUGACUUGAGGGGCAAAGGCCUUGCGAGCUAGAGAUUUCGCCGGUUGGAGGUGAGUAAUGAUUGUAAAUGAUGUUCUGAGGAUUCGAGACCCCGGAUUGCACAUCGUAGUGUAUUGAGGUGACUUGCACGCUGGAUAGCGAGCGUGGGGCAGAGCACCUUUGGGAAUUGCGACUUGGUCCGUCCCGAUUGAUGAUUUUACCGUGUAUUUGACUUAAACUUAUUUGUUAUCAUCAUGACUUGGGUUGAUUGUCAUAUUUGGGCUUUGUGCCAGCUAUUUGAACCCUUUCGGGGAUGAUUGUUGAUAUUUCCUCACUGUUUUGAGUUUAUACUUUAACUCAGUCAUGUAUUUUCCACUAUUUUCAAAACUCAGCCAAGUUUACUUUGCUUUAACACUUGAAAUGAUAUUUCUAACAAUAUUUAUGGGCUGAGCAUCAUGUUUUACUGUUGCCUGAGAGGCUUAUGUAAUUUUUGACUGAGUAAGGCCAAGGGCUUGUGUUGUGAGGAAACUUUUGGAUCGAGCUGCAUGCCGCAGUAGUGAGAUAGUGAUACUGAUACGAGGCUGAAGACGUAAAUUUGAUGCCACGAGAUAGCUUGAUAUUGUGCUUGGGCCGUAAGGGGAACCUUCCGGAGUCUACACACCCCCAGUGAGUGUCGUCGAUGAUAAAUGGAUGGGGCUGCACGCCGCAACAAUAUAUGGAUCGGGAUGCACGCUGCAGCGGUACCAUUUUAUGUGUUUACUCAUUUAUUUGUCUGUCAUUAUCUGUUGUUGUGCUAUUUCAUGUGAUAUCUUUCUAAUUGCCUGGCAUUUUCUAUUGAGUGAGUUUUGUGCCCGAAUGGCGGAUCUCUAUGGUUAUCUACACAAAUUGUUUGCAUUCAUUUGCAUAACUGUUUGACAAGGGCAUUUUCAAAAGAGAUUUAAACUAGGUUAAGAUGUUUUUUAAAGAUUUCACAGCUUCAUUGCUUUUCUCUAGGGGUUUUAUACUGCUUCUAUACAUCAUGAUGAUUUGCCUUACGUGAUUCUCUUACUACUCAGUUAUUUAUUUACUCAGUGAGUUGGAGUACUCACUUUACUCCCUGUAUCUUGUGUGCAGAUGUAGGUAUUUGUUCACCCGGUAGCAGAUUUUGGGCUGAUCGGAGGAUAAGUUACCGGAGUUUAGCGAGGUGACUGCCAGCGUUCGUAGAACCACAUUUUUUCCUUUGUUUAUUAGUCCUAUUUUUUUUUGUAUUUUAGACUCUGUAGUUGUAUUCAUAUAUUCAUAGAUGUUCGUGACUUGUGACACCUUGGUUUAGGCUGUGUUGGGUUGUACUCCCACUAAUUAUUAUUAUCAUUAAAUCAUAUUUAAACUGCUUAUGAACUAUUUAAUUGUUCAAAAGGGUGAAUUGGGUUUAGUUGGCUGGCCUUGUCCCCAUGAGAGGCGCCAUCACUACCGUGUCCGCAUUUGGGUCGUGACAGUGCAUCGAGUAGUCCUCCGAUGCGCACCCUUGAUACUCCGAGACUUAGUGGUGAGAUGACUUCCGAGUCUGUUCUGUAGCACCUUAAGUCUCUAUUUUGUAUUUGCAUUCUGUCUACUCUAGUUCAGACAAUAAUUCAGUGUUGUAUAUUCGACUAGUAGCUCAUAUACUUGUGACAUCAGGUCUUGGAAUUAUGCUAGUAGAUUUUAUCACACUUGUUCUUAUAUUUGAUUAUACUUUAUUUUAUUAAAUUUUUCACCCUCUUAUUUAUUUAACAAUAAAAAAUCAACUAUUUUCAAAAUGUUAAAAAGAAUAAAUACAUGGCUAGUUCACCAUUGGCUUACUUAACGACGACGUUGGGCGUCAUCACGAUCUAUAGGGAAAAUUGGUUCAAGACAAUUUAUCUCUCAAAUUUUUGUAUUCAUUACUACAUGGUAAAAGAGAGUAUUAAAGAACGAAGGGUGAUUCCGUACCGUUUCAUUAUCUCAUUUACUGAUUAAUACAUAGCGAGAAAGAGAAUUAAAACGUGAAGGGUGAUGUUGUGCCAUCUAUAUCAUUAAUUCAUAGUUAUAUGCUGAGAUUGAGAGCAAAAGCACGAAGGUUAAUGUCGUGCCCUCAAUAUCAAUUAUUCAUUGCUACAUGGGCAAAUUGAGAGUAAAAGUACAAAGAGUGACGGCGUGUCAUUUUAUUUUACUUAUGUCAUAAUUUCAUGGUAAGGAUGAGAAUAAAAGCAUGAAGGGUGAUGCCGUGCCAUCUUAUACCGUAUGUUCUAUCUUCAUUGGCUAAUGAGUUAUUUGGCUAUCUUGUGAGGUCAUAUCCGUCAUAGUCAUCGUAUCUUUUCCCCCUUCGCAUGUCCCCUCCCAAUUGUACAUUGUUAAAUCUCGGUUCUGUUGUUAUUUUGUACAUAUAUAUGUGAACAACUAUUUUUUACCACACCCAAAAUCUAUUAUAUUUUAGUGUAAAUAUUUCUUUUAAGUCUAAUUUAAUAUUUUAAAAUUUUUGAUCUUACUCUUAAUAUAUUUUAUUUAAAAAAAUAAUUAAAAGAAACUACAAAAACAUUUAGAUACUUAUAGUACAAAUUUGAUUUCUAUUUGUAAAGAAAAAAAUAUUUACAUAUACAUACAUAUAUAUAUAUAUAUACAUAUACAUACAUAUAUAUAUAUAUAUAUAUAUAUAUAUAUACAUACAUAUAUAUAUAUAUAUAUAUAUANNNNNNNNNNNNNNNNNNNNNNNNNNNNNNNNNNNNNNNNNNNNNNNNNNNNNNNNNNNNNNNNNNNNNNNNNNNNNNNNNNNNNNNNNNNNNNNNNNNNNNNNNNNNNNNNNNNNNNNNNNNNNNNNNNNNNNNNNNNNNNNNNNNNNNNNNNNNNNNNNNNNNNNNNNNNNNNNNNNNNNNNNNNNNNNNNNNNNNNNNNNNNNNNNNNNNNNNNNNNNNNNNNNNNNNNNNNNNNNNNNNNNNNNNNNNNNNNNNNNNNNNNNNNNNNNNNNNNNNNNNNNNNNNNNNNNNNNNNNNNNNNNNNNNNNNNNNNNNNNNNNNNNNNNNNNNNNNNNNNNNNNNNNNNNNNNNNNNNNNNNNNNNNNNNNNNNNNNNNNNNNNNNNNNNNNNNNNNNNNNNNNNNNNNNNNNNNNNNNNNNNNNNNNNNNNNNNNNNNNNNNNNNNNNNNNNNNNNNNNNNNNNNNNNNNNNNNNNNNNAAAACUACCAUAUAUAUAUAUAUAUAUAUAUAUAUAUAUAUAUAUUGUUGUUGUUGUUGUUAAUCAGAGUUAGUUAAUUAAUAUUUUUAUCCAAAUAUUUUUAUUGAGCACUCACCCCAUGACUCAUAUGCACCUCCAUAUUCAUGUGACAUACUCUCACAAAAGAUAAUAAAAUGAUAACUAACUCCUUAAUUCCCUUUCCCUUUGUUGGAUUUAUUUUUUAUUUGGUCGCGGGUUGCUCUAUGUGUGAUGAUCUAAUCCAUUUAUGAAUUUAUAAGAAUAAAUAAUCUCUUAUGAGAAAUUAUUUCACACGUUUUAAUUUUGUGACAGCAUAUUUUACACGAUUAUUUUUUUCUCGUGGGAGGAAACAAUUUUUCUUUCUUAACCCUAAAUAAAAGGAAAUAUGCUACUCUUGAAAGAGUUGUAGAAGAAGAAGAAAAAUAUAGAAAACUAAUCUCCUUUCUCUCAUAAGAAAUACACAGAGGAUACUUAGUUUGUGAAAAGUAUUUCGUUUCCAAAAAAGACGAAAUCGAACUUGAGCAAUUUGAUCAAAGAUUUUCCUUUGCCGCUUAGAUGGCAUUAUGUAUUUGCCUAUUUGCCAAAGUUUAAUGGGUCCUGUAAGGCACUAUAAACGUAGUUUCUAUGGUAAUUAUGAAUUCUACAAUUUUCCUUUCCUUAUCUUGUUGAGGAAUAAUAUAAGACUUCAAUCAUAUGUACAUCUGGUUAACAAAAUCAUUUAUCAACAUAAUCUAAUUGCUUGAUACUAGUUAAUGGUAAGUGCUUUACUCUUAGUUGUUGUCAAAGCCUUACUAUUAAUGAUAUCUUGACAUUAAGUAAUUGGAGAAUUAUUUCAUUAAAUUUGUACCAACAUUUCUAUUAGGAGGAAACAGAUAGUGUGCCAAUAUUGAAUAGAAAUAAUAUUGGAGUCAACUUCUUUAAUUGUUCUAAUUUUCAAUUCGGCAGUAAACUGUGAAUAUAGAAUCAAUGGCAUGAAAUUAACUGCAAUAGAGUUUUUUUCCAUGGUCUUUAAUAUAUUAAGAAUUGACUUGUGUAUAACUCCUGAUUUCUUAAAUAAUUCUAUUUUGGUUAGUCCUAAUCCCUUAAAUUAAUAUCCUUCUACUAGUAAUUGUGAUACGGGUUGUCACAUUGAAUAGUUGUAGCAAUUCCAAAGUGUUUCCUUGGUCCUAUUUCAGAUAUGACUGAAGAAGGACAAGUACGAAUUACUCCAAGUGGGAGUUCUCGAAGUCAAGGAAGAGGACAACAUAGAAGGGUACGUCGCCGCAUGACUUAUUUCUAUAAUAAUUCAUCGGAGCCUGAAGUUAUCAGAAAUAUCCCAAGGGCGAGACAAAAUCGGUUAAUGAAUCGAAGGGUUGAACGAAGGGAAAGAGAAAAGAAAUUUAGGGAAUUUAAAAUGUGCCCUGAUGUUUCAGUUCAUGAACAUGUACACAUCUUUAAGAUAAAAAGAGCUGGAUUAGCUAAUUACGUAAAAAAUUUUGAUUAGGAAGCAUUAGCUAUUUCAGCGGACUCUCUUCGAGAACCUUGGCGUGAAAUUUUAACUUAGAUUUAUCAUGAUGGUUGUCCUAGUGCACCUUUUAGCGUAUAUGAGCAAGAGUUAGUGUUCGAUUCGUAUAUGGAUGUCCUAGCAAAUAUGUAAAUUGUUAUUAUGUUUUAAUGAAAUUUUUAUUAUGAUUUUUGUCUCACUAGUUACAUACAUUGUUUAUUAUAUCCUUUUGUAAUAGACUGAGACUUAAGAUGUGUACUAAGAAGUGAUCUUAGUAUUAAUUAAAAAUAUUAAGAUAUAGAUGAUGAAUGGAAAUGUAGUGAUUGUUCGAUUCUAUACUAAAUAUAGAAUUAAUAUUAUAAUUAAUUUUUUUGAGUGUGUAAUCACAUGCAUAUAUUAAUUGAAGUAUAUAUUGAUGAGCUAAACUUAUAAUAUUGUCUCUAAUAACAGAUAUGGCAUCAAAAAUAAUCAUUGCUGACUUGAAUAAGGGGGACAAACUAAAUGGUAAAAAUUACAAUAUCUGGAGUCGUAAGAUGUGGUAUGAACUCGAAGAGCAAGAUGCUUUUGAAACUAUUAAUCAUGUUAUGAGUCACCCAGAGGAGGGUAACACUGCCCAACAAAGGAUGAUCUGGAAACUUACAAUGUUUGGAAAAAGAAAGAUUCCAUUGCACGUGAAAUUAUUGUAAGUUCAGUUGCUGAUGAUUUCAUCCACGAAUAUGAGCAAUAUCCUACUGCUCAAGCCAUGUGGGCACAUUUAAGUGAGGCAUAUGGGGGUAUGACUGUGACUCGCCUUCGACAGCUGACAAUCAAGUUUGACACGUAUAAAAAGCAUUAUGAUCAUGGUGUUAAGCAACAUCUAAGGGUGAUGUCAAAUAUGAUUGCUCAACUCAAAAAUGUUGGCCAUGUUCUCUCUGAUGAGCAGCAUCUUCAGGCUUUGAUUCGGUCUCUUCCCAAUAAUUGGGAACAUUUGAAGGUUAACUUGACCCAUAAUGAUAGUAUCAAAACUUUUGGUGAUGUUGCAUGUCAUAUAGAGCUUGAAGACGAGCGGCUUGGUGCUGCUAAAGCUGUAUCUAAUGCCUUUGUGGCAGAAUCAAGUGGUACAAAGAGAUCAAGCUUCAAGCGCAAGAGAAACUGAAAAAAUGACAAAAAGGGUAAGAUGACUGGAGAAGGACCCUCCAAGAAAAAAAAAGCCAAAUUCCAAAAAAGGAAAACGAUUCUACAAGAAGAAAGACGAUGGUAAGAUGAAGUGUUACAAUUGCCAAGUUCCAGGGCAUUUUGCUCGUGAGUGCACGAAAUCGAAAAAAGUAGCAUUUCAAAAUGCAUCUCUUAGUGCUAUAAAUGUUUCUAACUGUUUUGCUAACUGAAUCUUAUCCUGUGUGAAUUAUAGACUCAGGGGACACCGACCAUGUGAGCCGCGAUAGAGAAGCGUUUAUAGAGUUUUGUGGAGUUCCACCUGGAUCAAAGCAUAUAUAUAUAUAUAUACAUAUAUACAUAUAUACAUCAAUACUUACAAUGAUCAGUCUACACAUAGCAGUAGUGUGUGUGUGUGUGUGUGUGUGUGUAUAUAUAUAUAUAUAUAUAUAUAUAUAUAUAUGUAUAUAUAUAUUGGAAAUAAUGCUAAGCUUGAAUUCAAAGGAAUAGGCACUUGCAGAAUGGGCAUGCGUGGUGGCCGAACUUUGAUGUUGCAUGACGUCCUAUAUGUUUCAGAGAUUCGACGAAACUUAGUAUCCGUGUCUGUUAUUCUAGAUUUAGAUUUCAAUUUGAACUUUAGUCGUAGUGGUCUAAAAAUUACUCAAGAAAAUACUUUUUUAUGGUUUUGAACAUCGUUAUGAUGGUUUUAUUGUGUUAGAUUGUAAUCCUUCUACAUAUAAUUAUUAUAUUGACCGUUGUGUUAUGGCAUGUUAUUCUAGUAACAAUGAUGUUGAUGUUACUACGUGGCAUGCAAGAUUAAGUUACAUAGGCCAGGAUCAAGUGAGUAGAUUGGCUAAGGAAGUACAUCUAGUUCCUUUCUCUAAAAUUAAAUUGCCAACUUGUGAAAAUUGUCUUGCCGGAAAGAUUACACGUAAACCAUUUGGAAAGUCUGUGAGAGCUUAUUUUCCAUUGCAACUAAUCCACUAUGAUAUUUGUGGUCCAAUGAAUGUGAUGGCUAGGUCUGGUGCUUUAUAUUUCAUUACGUUCAUUAAUGAUUUCAGACGCUUUGGUUAUGCCUAUUUGAUCUCUCAUAAAUCUGAAGCACUUGAAUGCUAAGAAAUAUGUGAAUGAAGUUGAGAACUAAUUAGACAAAAGGAUUAAGAUCUUAAGAACCGAUAGAGGGCGUGAAUAUCUUUCAAAAAAAUUUGAAGGAUUGUGCAAUGAAAAGGGAAUCACCAGAUAGUUAAUUAUCCCAUACACACCUCAACAAAAUAGUGUAGCUAAAAGGAGGAAUAAAAUACUACUAGAGAUGAUAAGUUCCAUGAUGGCUCAUACAAAUUUACCUAUCUCCUUUUGGGGAGAUGUGUUAUUGACUGCAACUUAUAUAUUGAACAAAGUACUUUCUAAAUCAGUUUCUUCCACUCCUUAUAAGCUAUGGACUGGUCACAAAUCAAACUUAAAGGAUUUAUGACUUUGGGAUUGUGCUAUAUAUGUAAAAGAUUAUUUUAGCAAGUUUGGUAAAUUAGGUCCAAAAGGCAAGAAAUAUAUCUUUAUAAGAUAUUCAAAACACUCCAAAGGGUAUGUGUUCAUUGAUGAAUUAGAGGAUAAAAGUUUUACUGAGAUUGAAUCGUGAGAUGUCACAUUUUUGGAAAAUGAUUUUCCAAAGAAGGGUGAGGUAAAUAAUGGAGAGCCUCUUUAUGAAAUGUUGAACUGAGAUAGUCAGCAAGUGUCUUCUGUCACAGUUGAUAAUCAAAUUGAUCAAGAUCUUAUUUUUGAUCCGAGUGAGAGUGGGAACUCUCAAUCCUAAAAUCCUUCUGGAAAACCUGAAUUUCAACUGCGAAAGAGUGCCAAAAGAAAUAUUCCCAAAUGUACUUGUGAAAUUGAAGAUUGUAUUUUCUUGAUAUCUCCUAUAGAAAUGGAUGAGCCAAAGUCUGUGACUGAGGCAUUAUCGAACCCUGGAAAAGAUUGGUGGAUGAAAGCAAUAAAAUGAAGAAUUAGAGUCCAUAAAAACUAACAAAGUUUGGAAUCUAGUUGAUCUUCUGCGAGGCAUAGAGCCAUUGGGAACAAAUGGGUUCUCAAAGUUAAACACAAAAUGGAUGGGUCAAUAGAAACAUACAAGGCACGAUUGGUGGCAAAAGGCUUUACUCAAGAAGCUGGAAUAGGUUAUGAAGAAACAUUUUCACCAGUUAUGAUGUUUACCUCAAUUCGCUUACUUUUGGCUAUUGUUGCACGUUUGGAUUUGGAAUUACAUCAAAUGGAUGUGAAGACAACUUUUCUCAAUGGAGAACUAAACGAAGAGAUCUACAUGGAACAACCGGUAGGAUUCAUCGUUAAAGGCCAAGAAAAGAAGGUUUGUAAAUGGCCUGAAGCAAUCUUCAAGGCAAUAGUAUUUGAGAUUUCACAAGAAGGUGAUCUCAUAUGAUUUCACCAUGAUCAAUAAAGACCAUUGCAUUUAUGUGAAGAAGUCCAAUGGAAUAUUUAUAAUUCUUUCUCUUUAUGUGGACGAUAUUUUAUUGGCUGGAAAUAAUUUAGAGUAUUUGAAAACUAUCAAGUCAUGGCUUUCAAAGCAUUUGACAUGAAAGAUAUGGGCGAGGCAAACUAUAUCCUUGGAGUUAAGAUCCAAAGAGACCGUUCCAAAAAGUUAUUGAGUCUAUCUCAAGAAACUUAUAUAAAGAAAAUUUUGGAGCAUUUUCACAUGAAUGGUUGCAAAUCUAUGGAUACUCCAACAGUGAGAGGUGAAACUUUAAGCCUUGAAAUGUGUCCUAAGAUUGAAAAUAAAAAGGAAAACAUGUCUCAAAUUUCAUAUUCAAGUGCUAUCGGGAGCUUGAUGUAUGCUAUAAUGUGUACUCGCCCAAACAUUUGUGCUGCCGUAGGUCUGGUUAGCAAGUAUCAACCCAAUUCUAGAAGAGAUCAUUGGAAAGCUGUGAAGAGAAUUUUCAGAUACCUAAAGGGAACUGCAGAUUAUUCAUUAUGUUAUAGUAGAAAUGAUUUAUACUUGAGAGGAUAUACAGAUGCUGAUUGGGCUAGUGAUCGGAAUGAUAGAAAAUCAACAUCCGGUUAUGCUUUCUUACAUAACGAUGGUUCUAUAUCAUGGAAAAGUAAGAAACAAACCUGUACAACCCUUUCAACGAUGGAAGCUCAGUUCGUGGCUUGUGCAUCUACAGUACAAAAUGUUGUUUGGUUGAAGAGAUUCUUUGAGCAUUUAGAUAUAACAAAGAACUCUCAGGGUCCGAUAACUCUAUAUUGUGAUAGUCAAGCGGCUAUUGCAUAUAUAAAAGAUUCAAAGUAUCACAGUAAAACCAAACACAUUGACAUCAAGUAUAACUUUGAUAACCAGCCAUAAAAUUCAACCGAAAAUUAUAAUAAUCCUAAACACCAGUAAAACACCAGGUGAAGCAUAACUAUUUGGUUUCCCGUCGAGGUUUAUGGAGCAGCGAAGUUGUUAUAUUUCAUGUUUUCGUACGUGUAAGUGCGCCAUAAAUAAAUUGAUAUAAGCUAAAAAAUGAUAUAUUACAUUUCGUAUUUUUGUACGUUAAAGUUUCAUAAUAAAUUAAUCGAAGUAAGUUUGGGAAUGAGAUUAUUUUGAGAUUAUAAGUAUUAUGCUAUUUCAAACAAGUGAUGAGUAAAUUCGUAAAGGUGAGAGGAUAACCAAAUCAAAGAAGAUGAAUUUUUUUCAAAGUUUGACAAGUUAGCUAAAAUACUGUCCGAGUUAAAAUACUCGAUAUUUAUGGACUAAUAUUAUAUAAAAUACUACAUAACCAUGAUAGUAAAAUAUAUAAAGUGUGUUAAAAGUUAAAUAGUAUUUUGUGUAAUUUAAAAUAAUUUUUAAUUAUAUAAAUAAUUGGUUAAUUGUUGAAUUAGUAAAAAAUUACCAAGUUAAUAGGUAAUUAAUUAAGACAUUUUGAAUUAUCUUUUGGACGGAGUCUUGAAAUUCAACGUGGCAGCAACACAAGAGUGAACAAGUGACUCUUAAGUGAUUAGGAUAGGUGGCACAUUAAGGGGUCUUUGGGUAAGAUUUAUCCCCAAAUUUUUUUAAAGAGAAUUAAGUAAGAUAUAUUAAUUCAUGAAAGUUCAAAGAAGAACCAACAGAGUUAUAUUAAUGUUGUAGGUGAUUUUAUAUCGUUUUAAUAAUAAUAAUUAUUAUAUAACGAGGAAAAUUAAUUGUUAAUUAAUAAGGAUUAGAUCACGAUGCCAUUAGUUUUUUUGAAUAAAACACGUGAAUGACGAUUUGUUCUUUUAUUCUUUAAAGAUUUCGUGUUUCUAGUUGUGAUUUGUUGAGGUAUUCUAAUUCUUAAUUAUUUUAUUACAUAGAUAAUGCUGAAAUUUAUUUUAGCACACUUGAAAAUUAUUAACAUCUUAACAAUAAAGAGAGAUGGUGAUUUAGGACGUAUAGGUGAUAACCAAUUAUUUUAUUACAUCGUCAUCUGUCUAUAACUAAUUUGCACUUCUUUCACAAAUAGUUUUAUAAUUUAUGUCCUCGCAAUAAUUUUAAAUUAGCUUAGAAAAAUAACUUAUGAGUACGUUAGUAUGUUUUCGGAGCACACUUUUAAUUAAAUUAUCGUGAUUAUGCACACGUUCAAGUAACAUAGUUAUAAUUUUUUAAAUUAAAGGUAAAAUAUGCGUUCACACGACUUUGAUAAGAUAAUUAUAAGAAUUAUAAAGUAUUAUUAAUUGUAUAUACAUACACAUGACAAGAUUCUUGACAUACCAAAAAAUAAAUAUACGUACACGUGAUUCGUUUUCAGAUAAUUUCAUAAUCACAAAUAAUCAAGCAAUUAAAUGUGAUUUAAGGCAAAAGUGCAAAAAUUUUCCGACAACAUAAAGUAUCUAGAGUUAGUUAAGAGAGAUAUAAUUAUUAAUGCGACCGUUCUAGAACCACGGAACUUGACAGUACUUCACAUUUUUUUCUGGGUUAACAGAAUUCCUUACAUGGUCUUCUAUAUUUCACAGACUUAAACAUAGUCAAUUUUCGUGAAUUGGGAUUUUAAAAUAAAUAGUGACUUAGGAUACCUAAAAUAUUUAUUUCAAGUGGCGACUCUUUAAAAUAAAACAAAUUAAUCUAUUUUUCAAAUAAUGUCACUUAAAUUGAAAAAACUCAUUUCUUUCCAUAACUUUCCGGAAAAAAAGAAAUGUGACAGUCUGGCUACGCUGUUGGGGAACAUAAAUAUAUAACUUCUGGUUUAGGGUUUAGAAUUCAAGCUUGUAAUGUGAUAUAUAGUUGGCAUUAUUGAUUGGAUGUAAUUACUGCAUUUGUGGGCCUAAUGUGCUAAUUGCCACUUAUUUACUGCUUUGAUAUUAUUUUAACUGUAUUAAAUUGUCUUCUUAUGCCUCCUUUUGAGUCUUUUGAAUUUAUAGUGCACACGUGCAUAUGGCCCAUUUUUCUAUUAGAGGUAGUACCUAUAUUAGAACGGGGUUAGUUCAAUAACUAGGUCGGGUAGACUUUUGUGCUCCUGGUACGUUGCUCCUACCUCGGCUCGAGCUUUUCGUUUGAGUAAGUUAGGUCUAACACACUUCUCAUAGGAUUUAAAUCUAGAAUAACAUAGCUUCAUGGGGGAUCUCUAGUAGGAACAGUUGUUUUCAUCAUGUACAUUUAAUUUUGCGGACUCAGCACAAGGGUUGAGUCCGUCUAGGACAGGUGACUAGAGAAUUACAAGACCAUCCUGAUGCAUCUUAUGUUCUACAUGUACAUUAUGUUUGAUUCAGUUUAUGCAUAUUGAUCGACUUUUAAAAAAAAUAAAAAUAAAAAUUGAGAGAAAAGAAGAAGGAAGAAAAUAGGGGAGAGAAAAUUUACACGAUUUUUGAAAAUUCUUGGUGUUUGAAAAUUCAAAAACCGUGUCAAAAUUUUACCCCAAACAGAUUAUUACAAAAUAAGCUUGAAUUUUUCAAAAAGUUUCAUCCCAUUCCUGAAAUAUUUACCGAAAUACACUGGUUUAAUUCUCAUCGCAUGUGAAAUAGUAGGCAACCCUCAUCAGGUCUGGUCCCCUAAUUUUCAAAAAAAAAAAAGAAAGAUAUAUUUUAUUUUUUUCUUUAGAAGUCUUUCUUUAAAAAACUUUCACAGAAAAAAAAAAAGUUAGUUUAUUUACUUUAUUCUUCAUCUUUUAAAAGUACGUAAUAAUCUGAUUUAUGCAGCAUCAUGAUACGUAGGAAAUCUCCAUCGAAUGCGAUCAUAGCCAAAAAUAAACUGGUGAAAAACAAAAAAAAAAGCUAUGUGAAAAACAAAAAAAAAAAAAAGAGAAAAAGAAAGCGACGAACCCAGAAUGUUAAAAUCAAAAGACAAAAAAGAAACGGGAAAUGAAAGAAACAAGGUAUAGAGUGGAAAAGGGUUAAUUAAAAUCGGGAUGAAACUCGCAACCGUUCAAAUACAUGAUAAAAAUAUUUAAUUGUCGGGUGCAUUUAACAAAUGCUUUGAACUAAUAAAUUUGUUGUGUCUGCCCAAAGCUUAAGUUCUGUUUCAGGUGAAUGGUUUUGUUGGUACCAUGUGUCUGCCCAACGUCGCUAGACAAGCCAGUGGUGAAUUAGCAUGUUUUUAUUCUUUAUUAUAAUUUCAAGGCGGUUGAUUUUCAAUUUAUUAAAUAAGUUAUUAGUGAAAAUUCAUAGUAAAGUAAAGCACAAAAUGUCGAAAGAGUAAAUACAGUGAAUUCAACACUCAAAACCAUAGGUGUCUACUAUAAUAUUCUUAGAACUCAGUAUCACAAGUGUACGAGCAACUAGAAAAAUAUAAAAAACCAUCUAAAUUAUUGUCUGGAAUAGGAUAGAUAGAAAAUAAAUAUAAAACAGAGACUACAGGUGCUGCAAAACCUACACAAAGAGUAGCUCACUAUUAUUCCUCGGGGUAACAAGGGUAUGCGCUUGAAUUACUACCAGAUGCAUUUGGCUCAAAUCCUGCACUAUUAGUACAGAAGUAUAGCGUAAUUACAUAAAUAACGUAUACCCAGUAAAUAUUUACUCUAACCUUAAAGAAGUUGUGACGAGGGAUUAACAUUGAUAUUUACUAUAGGCCUAUAAAUAAGUGCAAAAAUUCUAAAUAAGGUAUGGAAUACAUCAAUAAUCAUAACGCAAUAAUGAACAGUAAAUGAGUGAUUCUAUAGCUAGAUGUCGAUUUAAGAUUUCCCCUUAACACAUACUAACUUCAACAAAUAUGAACUAUCAAGUAAAUUAUAAAGUCUCAAGUCAUGGAGGUAAUAUUAAGUAUAAUCGGACUACGAUCAUUAUUACGUACGAUUUAUGUAGAGGUCCUAAAGUCCGAUCAAAAAUAAUAUGUACACUGUCGAGGGCUAAUUGACACGAAUCGUCGAUGUAUCUAUUAUACCGCCGAGGCAUUCGGUCCGCUGCACAAGAAGAGGGAGUACUCUACUAACUCUGAUUAAACGGUUAUCACAAGACUAAUACAUAAAUAUGCACAAUUUCUACUAAAGUUCGGUCUUUACGAAUCCUUUAUCAAGUUUCAAGAUAAUUUAAGCACUUAAAUUAACAAGUAGAGUGCAAAUAAUACAAGUAUUUCAUGAUAGGAUCCUAAAAGUACCCGGACAUACAUGAUUUGUAGUUGCGCAUGGAUUCUCAAUACUUUGUACAUACAUAGCACCCAUAUUAGAAGCAAAUAGUAAUUUAUAAUACUUAUGGGAUAAACUCCCCCUUACAAGGUUAGGCAAGAGACUUACCUCGUCCUCAAGCUCAGUUUUUGGUCCACAAAUUCGCUCUAAAAGCCUCAAGUUGGUGUUGAACAAUCCAAAACUAGUCAAAUAUUAUUUAAAUUAAUCUAUAUAUACUCAAAAGUUCAUAAUUUAGCUUCUAAAGUCAUAACCCAACCAAAUACAGAGAUUCCUAAAAUUAGUCCCGGGGCUCACCUGCCCCGAUUUCGAAAAUUUUCAAAGACAAAUAUUACAUAUCCUCACGAACCCAAAUAUAUAAAUUCUACCCGAUUCCAUAAUCGUUUUUGGUGUCUAAUCCUAUUUUUUUCAAAGACCUAUGUUUUUCCACUAAACUUAUAAUUUUCACAAUUUUUAUGUUAAAAUCUAUGAUUAUGCAUGAUUUACUCUCAUAUUAUAUAGAAAUUACUUAUAUCCAAGUGCAAGGUGAAAAGCUUUCCUCAAAGAGCUCUAAAUUCGACCAACAAGUGAGAAAAAUGAGCCUAAGUCCCGACUUAAAUACAUUUUUGCUCCUAGUGGUUCCGCUUCUACAGAAAAUUGGAUGUUUUUGCGAAAAUGCAUCGCAUAUGUGGUCCUCCAAAAGUUUCAUCCUUGUCCUUGAGUAGAGUUGAUCUUCCUACGUAGUAAGAUUAAAUCAUAUUCAGAAUCUUAGAUCACUUCUACGUAUUCAAAAAGGGUAAUAAGUUUGGGCUUAUUGUUGUUCUUGUUAUUCUAAAGGGCUGAGUUUUACCAUUUUUGAAAUCUUAGAUCACUUAUAGGUAUUCAAGAAAGGUGAUAAGUUUAGGCUUAUUGUUGUUCUUAUUAUUCUAAAGGGUCGGGUUUCACAAUCUAUCUCUUGUUUGAAUUCUCUUCCAAUGGCGAUUAGUUCGUCGUUAGCUAAUUGUUGUUGUUAGGAUUAAAAUUCAAGAAUAGACUUCUUGAAUUCAAGAAACUCUUUAUUGAAUUCAAUCUAUCUUUAAUUUUCCGUCUUUUUUUGUUUUUUAUUUUCUUUUAGCUUCCGCACGUUUCUUGAUUUUCUUGUUUUUCUUUAGUAAUUAUUGAAUUCCCUAUCGUGUUGCUAUCAGUGUUUCUGGUGCCUGAGUCGUGGCUAGGUUUGCUGGUGGCACUUUGGUGGCUGCUCGCGUAGGUGCCCUGGCUGCACCCCGCGUGCGUCCACGACCCCUCCCCUGAAUCAUGUAUCUUUAAUUCUCUAUCAAAGGCAAUUUGCUCUUCAUUAGCUAAUUUUUGUUGCUAGGAUUCUAACUUCAAGAACACAAUUCUUGAAUUUGAGAAACUCUUUCUUGAAUUCAAUCUAUCUUUAAUUUCUGUCUUUUUCGUUUCUUUAUCUUCUUUUAGCUUCCACACAUUUCUUGAUUUUUUGUUGUAAUUAUUGAAUCCCUGUCACGUCGUUAUCAAAUUGGUUGGCGAAAAAUUAUAAUAAAGUAAAGCGCAAACUACUGAAAGAGUACAUACAUUGAAUUUAAUGCUUAAAACCAUAAAGUAUCUACUAGAAUAUUAGAUACUAAAAAAAAAGAAAAAAAGAUCUACUAGAAUAUUCCCAAAAUAUGGUGUCAUAAGUGUAUGAGCAACUAGUAGAAAAAAAAACUAUAUACACUAUUGUCCGGAGUAGCAUAGUUAGAAAAUAAAUAUAAAAAAGCUGCAGAACAAACACAGAGUGCAGAUCAUCACUAUGUCUCGGGGUAAUAGGGGUAUGUGCCUAAAUGACUUCCAGAUGCACCUGCCUCAGAUCAUGCACGAGUAGUGCAGAAGUGUAGCAUGAAUACAUAAACAACAUGUACCCAGAAAAUAUCUAUUCUAACCUCGAAGAAGUAGAUCAACAUCGACACUUACUAUGGACCAAUAAAUAAAGUGCAGAAAUUCUAAAUAAGGUAUGGAACACAUAAAUAAUGAUAAUGCAACUAAUCGGACUCCGAGCAUUAUCACGCACGACUUAUGUUAAGGUCGUACAGUCCGAUCCAGAAUAAUGUGUACAUUGUCGAGGGUCGGCCGCCGUGAACCAUAGAAGCAUCUAUUAUACUGAGCAAUUUAUUUUCUUUUAACAUAUCUGAAGCACACCAUCCCUAUGACUAUGGUUGAUAGCAACAAAUAAACUUUAGCGCCUUCAACGCACACUUCCUUGUACUUUAUGCCAUACUUCAACAAAUUAUUCAACAAAAAGAUAACAUGUUCAUAACAAUCCUAGCCUACAAACCUACUCAUAUCACAAUGCAUUCGUGGCUUGAACACUUAACAACAUAGAGACAUCUAAUAAUGUCACAUAUCCCUUGCAAAACAAUGUGCCUUCACCACAAUAAUAGGAGAGUAAGUUGAAUCCACACAUUAGGAUCAAAUUCUCAAAUAUAUUUUAAUGACUCACAUAUAUCAAAACAAUUCCUCACUCUCGCAAAGAUGUCACAUGCACACACAAAGUACCAUAGACUUGCCCAUUAUGUAAACCUCCACUAAGGUUGGUUUACUCGAUCUAAAAUCAAGUAGUACUUUUCCUUAGUUGUAACGUGGGGCUAAGGGAAGGGUAUGAUAUAUUUUGGAUUAGUGGUUCAUCCUCUCAAGCACUUUAACAUAUAAUAUAAUAAAUUUCAAACGCAAAUUCUUCAAUCCACUUCAAUUUCAUAAACAAGAUCACACCUCAAAAAUAUGUCUUUCUUUAAGCACUACUUUACUUUAUACCCUACUAGCAAGAACAAGACAAUAAUUUAUUCACCACAUUUACUUUCUUUUCUUCUCUCUUUCUUUUCUCCUAUUAUAUUUCCUUUUUCAGUUUUCGCUAGUGGUGUAUUACUUUACAAAACAAGUGCACCAUUCUUUCAUUCAUUGGUUCCACCCAAAGCUACCCCACACUUAAUCCUUAUUUCUUCUAGCGUUCAUUUCAUAAUUAAAGUGCUUUAAGAGGUAAAAUAAUUAAAAUAUGUCAAAGAAGAAUAAAAUGAUAUAGGCUUGUAAUAUUGGUGUAAAAUAAAAGUCUAUAGGUUCAAAGGGUUUAUUAGGGAUAGAUUUUAUUUGUCGUAGACAUUAUGUCCAAAAAGGUAAAAAACAAAAGCCUAAAAUCAUUUUUCUAACCAAUCAAGCCUAUGAUUUCACUUCAAUUAGUUACAAUGAAAUGGACUACACAAGAAGAUCCCAACGGCACGUGACUCAUUAAGGACGGUUCCAUUCUGAGUCUCAAACAAUUGCAAGUACUAACAGAGCCACAGAUUAUUAAGCAUUAAGCACAAAGUGACACAAGCCAAGAAAAUGAGACAUAGGCAUCAAUAGACAUAUUAUCUAACUCUACAAGGCAUCAUAAGAACUUCAAACCAUAGGGAAGGUAAUACACAUCUAGCCUAAAUAUGCUACUAUCAAACAAGUCAAAAGGGUGCCUAGAAAUUUCAUCUUCCUUUUUUAUUCCCUAAAUUAUAUUUUACUCUAUAAAUAAAAAACUAUGAUCCAGUUCAAACUACAUCUCAUAAAAAAGAAUCGAAGUACAAAGAAAAAUCACAGGGGAUCAUUACUACCUAAAAAAUAAGUAAAAACAAUUUGUUGGAUUUUUCUAUUUUUCUAUGUUUUUGGUCAGAAUUUAAACCCUCAAGAAAAUUGUCUAGGAUAUUCGUCAUCGGAAAAAGUCCAGUCUUAUCUAUUUUUCUAAAAAAAGUUAUUCAACUAAACUAAUACAACUAAAAUAGCAUAGAAAGUCACCUAGAUAAUCUCCUCGCCCCAUACUUAAGAUUCUACAUUGCCCCCAAUGUGUAUCAUACUAAUAAGAGGGUAAAAGAAACUCUCUGGUAGGCCAAAGGACGAAGCACUAGCAUCUCAUGGGGUACUCAAACUUCUCCCAUGCUGUAUCCUUCGUGGGGGUACCUUACACUUAGUUCCAACCAUCUGGUUUGAUUUUUCAUCCUUCCAAUAGCUUUGCUUUCCAUGCUCCUAUAAAAAAACUACACUACGAAAAUAAUAUAAUAAAAAUUAAAGAAAUAAAAACAAACUAAAAAAUAGUAAAGUUGGGGGUUGCCUCCCAACAAGCGCCUUAGUUAACAUCGUGGCAUGACAUGAACCACUUUUCGCCUCCACUUCGGACUUAUGAAUUGGACCCUAAGUCCUGAUUCUGCUCUAUAAUCAUGCUCUUGGGGUGAUACAAGAUGUUGCGAGCCAUAAUUAAAUGAUUCUUUAUGCACUUUUUGGCUUUCAACCAAGGAGUGUCACCUUGCCUAGACGACCUUGAAAAUUUCACAAUAUAGGGCUCAUCCACCUCUUCCUUUGACUCUUGCAUUGGCUCAUACAGAUCAAUUCUCAUAUCUCCUUUCGAACGCAAUGUCGAAAAAUACUUUGAGUAAGGACCAAUAUGCUCAAACUGAAAAUUCAACUUGUUAUCAACCUCCUAUUCUUGCCACAAACUAGAACCAAUUAAAAUUGUAUCUGUAAGGUCCUUAGUUGACUCCAGUACCAUUUCUUCAACAUCGACAUCAUCAAAUCCUAGUUGGUUGGUUUGGUCAAAUUCUACUCUUAACUUCCAUUAUAAUGGUAAUUUCUGCCCCAAUUCAUGCUUUUCUUGGCUACUAUCCCAAUACGCUUGUUGCGCUUUACAAGGCUCAAUUUGCUAACUCACUUGAGUUUCUAAGUUGUGAAUAUUUGCCUCUUGACUUUGUAUCUGUGGUGGUUUUUCAUCAUAUUGUUCCACCAGACACUUAUAUCUAUGAUCUCCUUCAGGUCAGUACUCCCAGGUACUUUACUCCUAUUAACUUCACAAGAAAAAGUAGAACCAUCAUUAUAAGGAGUUAGGGUAGGAUAAGAAAUACAAGCACAAUCAUAAAAGUGACCAUCUUGAAUGCCACAAUCAUCACAUAUAUACAUAAGAUUGAGUUGGUGCAUAUAACUUGCUCUCAAAAAUAUUUUGACAAUUUUGCCACUGGUAUUUUACUCCAUAAUAAGCACAAGGAAGAUCAACAGUAGAAUUACCAAUGUCGAAACUCCCAUAGUUCUAAGAUUCGAUGUUUCUAAAAUCAACAAGUAAAACUAGAAUAAAAAAAUCAAAUACUUAAAAAAAAUUCAAACUUGAAAUAUAGUAAUAUGUACUACUACAACUACACCAUUAGUUCCCCGACAAUGGUAUCAAAGUUUGAUCACGCUCAACUCUAGUCCUAAAAAGAAUAAGCGGUCAUUACUAAUAUAAUCCGGUCUAAACAUACGGAGUCAAAUCGCAUAUAGAACUAAACUUAGCUAUAACUUUUCACUAUCACUAAGAAGACAAGUUUGAACAAAUUCUGAAGUUAUAAAGAUUGAGAUUUUAUUUCUAAAUAAUUAAAGUAUAAUUAUUAACUAAAGAUACUGCGGUUGGAGAAGAGAUUAAGGCGGUGUAAAGUAAUAAUUUCUCCAAUUGUCGGAAUCCUUCCCCCUGCGUCUUCUAUAAUUUUGUCUAAGUAUUCUCUACUUAUCGUGAGUACUUCUGUAAUUACCAUAAUUUACUACAUAUAUUCUCUCGAACUACACUAGUUGGUAACUAAUUCACCACUCCCUAUAAUCGCACCGAGGUUUCAUUAUCUCUAAUCCUGCCUUUAAACACUCCUUAUUGAUCUCUCACGUACAUUAGGAGUGAUGUUGUUCAACAAUACCUAAAUGUGUAUUUUCUCUCGAGCAAUAUACACGGUAAAUAGACACAGUUAAUUGAGACACCUUCCAUCAACAACAAUGGAAAUAUAGUUGAAUAAGUAGAGAAAGAUGAAGGGCAAAUGUAUAUAAAAACGUAAUAAGAAUUCAUCCUACAAAAGGUUCCAUCAAAACCCUAGAUAACAUAUUAGUCAUUUUUAAUAGUAUGAAAAACUAAAAUACUAGAAUUCAUGACCAAAACUGAAAAUAGGAAGAAGGACGUGAAAAAAUCGUAGAAGAAUUCUCCGCCUUGCUCAUAAUGUGUUUUUUCCUCCUUAGGUCGAAAUCCCUUCUCCAAAAACGUCCUCCUUUAUUUCAAAUCUGCUCUGAAACACCCUUUGUUUCUUGGACAUAUUUAGGAAGUAUUCAUAGGAUAGGGUUUGAGUGCAAAUCUGGAUCGAAAUCCUUUUAUUCAUGCAAUUUUGAUCAUCAGGCUAUAGACCUCGGGAGACCAGGCUUAUUAGCGGGGUCAGUCUGGCUAUAGAGUUGGCUACGUCUGGCCUGUAGCGUGGUCAAGCUUGCUAUAUACAUGGCUAUACUUGGCUUGUAGCACAAUAAGCUGGCUAUGCUUGGCAUGUAGCCAGGCUUUGGUACUUCGUACUUUUGUGCUCUUUUCUCAUAUUUUUAUCUUUUUUUGUGUAACUCUCACUUGCUUUUGUCUUUCGAUGCUCCUACACAUUAAACAACAUAAUUUAGCUCAAAUAUCACAUAAUUAACCGUUAAACUAACAACAUGUAAAGCGAAUAUAUCCUAAAAAUACAAUAUUUUGGCAAACAUCACAUCUCUUUACAAGUACUAUUCUUUGCUACACAUAUGUAUCUUCUUUUGUUCAAGAGCUACUUGAUGAAGUUUCAGUUCAAAUGAGAAAUGUAGACAUGCUUAUUCGUUAUGAACCGCCAUAUAAUGGAGUAUAAACAUGUUUUAUCACUAAAAUGCAUGUUUUAAAAGGAAUCUCGAGUAGCCGUUGAGUCGUAUAAUUUUUUUAUAAACAAGUGUCACUUGAACAUAGCCCCUGCUACUUAUUUAAUUAUUUGUUUCCAAACAAAUAUUUUUUCCUACGUCAACGUGGCGGCGGGGAGUAGUAUUGACUUCUUAAGCCUUUAUAUCCUACUCUUGAGCCAUACGUAAAUAUAUAAAGACAUUACACAUCCAGCUAUUCUUUCCCUUCAUUUCCUUUUGAUUUGGAAUUGUCACGACCCCAAAUGGCCGGUCAUAAUGAUACCUCUCGUGAAGAUAAGGUCAGCCAACAUAAUACUUACAUCAACCUUUUAAUCAUUAAAAAUAAUUUUUAGACCUUUAAUUAGAGUAAUAUUUCGUAAUAUAAAUCUGAAGAAAAAUAGUGCAGAAUUACUAUACAAGCCCCACAUUGAGAUGUCACUAAUCAUGAGCAUCUAUCAAGGUCUGAAUGCAACAAAAGUCUAAAAAUGUACAAAUACAGUAGUAUCAAUAUGAGGAAGGGAGUGGUGCUACGAACGUCAUGCAACCACCAGCUACCUCUGAUGGCUCCACGUUUGAGCAGAACAACACUCGCUAUCGGGUUCCGAUAUGCCUGCAUCUGUACACGAGGUACAUGGAGUAAUGUGAGUACUCCAACCCAGUAAGUAAUAAGAUUAAUAAAGGCUGAGCAAAAGGAAAUAAUGAAUCCAUAUUUACGUUAGGCUCAAUAAACACAACAGGCUUUCAAAUCAUAAUACGAUUCAACCUUCCCUUUUAAAAUUCAGCUUUUAGUAAAAAUCAUUUUGAAGUACUUUCCAGCAGUUUCAGUAGGGUUCAAUGCCAUUUAAAAUAAUAACAGAGAUUAAAGUCAUAAUCGGCCUCUCGGGGCAAAGCAUAGUUCAUAAAACAACCCAUCGGGCAAAACAAUAAUCAUAAACACUUCAUAACUCGAAAACCUCGAUGGAAAUAGCCAAAUGUUAAAUCUGUGAUUAAUUUCUGAACAUCUCAUAAACCCUAGUUUAAAUAAAAGUUGUUUUAAAAUAUUUAUUCGACAUUUCGAUAGAGGCUCAACAUAAAAAUGAGUGAAACAACCACUAAUUCAGCAUAUGCAAUAGAACUCAUGUUAAAGAGGAGUGAAAUCAAUAAAUUCAUAAACAGGCCUCUCAGGCAGACAUCACUCAUGUACAUGUAUAUAUCUAUCGCCGCAUGAGCUAGGCUCUCUUCCACUCAUGACUCAAAUAUUACCAAUCAGUAUUUGCACUCAACAUUCACGCUCAAUAGGUACCAUAUAAUAACUGUUGCGGCGUGCAGUCCGAUCCAUAUAUCGCUGCGCGCGUGCAGCCCGAUCCAUAUAUUUCAUCGACGGCGCUCACUGGGGGUGUGCAGACUCCUAGAGGGGCCUCUUACGGCCCAAGCGCAAUAUUGUUGCAGCAUGCAGCUCGAUCAAACAUAUCGCUGCGGCAUGCAACCCGAUCCAUAUAAGUAUCGAUGUGGCGUGCAACCCGAUCCAUAUAUAUAUAUAUAUGUAUAUAUAUAUAUAUAUAUGUAUGUAUAUAUAUAUAUAUAUAUAUAUAUAUAUGUAUNNNNNNNNNNNNNNNNNNNNNNNNNNNNNNNNNNNNNNNNNNNNNNNNNNNNNNNNNNNNNNNNNNNNNNNNNNNNNNNNNNNNNNNNNNNNNNNNNNNNNNNNNNNNNNNNNNNNNNNNNNNNNNNNNNNNNNNNNNNNNNNNNNNNNNNNNNNNNNNNNNNNNNNNNNNNNNNNNNNNNNNNNNNNNNNNNNNNNNNNNNNNNNNNNNNNNNNNNNNNNNNNNNNNNNNNNNNNNNNNNNNNNNNNNNNNNNNNNNNNNNNNNNNNNNNNNNNNNNNNNNNNNNNNNNNNNNNNNNNNNNNNNNNNNNNNNNNNNNNNNNNNNNNNNNNNNNNNNNNNNNNNNNNNNNNNNNNNNNNNNNNNNNNNNNNNNNNUAAUUGUUGCGGCGUGCAGCCCGAUCCAUAGAUAUAUAAUCCUCACAACUAGGCCCUCGGUCUCUCUUAGUCAUUAACCUCACCAUCAGACUCUCAGUCUACUCAGUAAAACACGGAACUCAGCCCAAAACAGUUUUCACACUUUUAAGAAUAUAGUGAUAAGCCAAAUUUGAGUGAUAGACAGUUAAAACAUGACUAAGGAUAUGCUUUCAAACAAAUAGAGUGAGGAUAGAUAGUAAAAAUGCUCUUAAGGGUCUCAAACAAGUCGGCACAAGGCCCCAAACAAGGCAUACAACCCAAAAUAUAAUAACAUCAAACAAUUAACUAUCAAGUACGCAUUAAAGUACUCAUUCAGGAUGGACUAGGUCACAAUCCCCAGUGGUGCUCUACCCCACGCUCGUCAUCUAGCGGGUGAGUCACCUCAAUGUAACACAACGAUGUGCAAUUUGGGUUUUCAAACCCUCAGAACAUUAUUUACAAUCAUUACUUACCUCGAACCGGCGAAAUCUCUAGCUCGCGAAACCCUUGCCCCUCAAAUUGGCCUCCACGCGCGUCGAAUCUACCCAAAAUAAGAACGAAUACAUCACAAUAUGCUAAGGGAACAUAGCCCAAGCAAAAACAAUAGAAAAAUAUCGAAAAAUCUUGAAAUUAGCAAAACCAUGGUCCCAGGCCCACUUCUCGAAACUCAAAAAUUUUAACAUCAACGGAUCCCCUAUCUCGCCACGAGUCCAUACAUACAACAAACUCUCAAAUCCGACCUCGAGUGACCCUUCAAAUUCCAAUUUAAAAUUUCACCAACCCAAGCCCUAGUUCUUCCUUUUUUAGCUAAAUUUCCAUGAAUUUCUAGGUUAAUUCCACAAAUAAAUCACGUUUUUUGUUAAUAGAACUUACCUCAAAUUAAUCGUCCUUGAAUCCCUCUUCAAUUUCUCCCAAAGAGCUCUCAAAAUGAUCAACUAUGGAGGAAAUAUGACUUAAGUUCGCAGAAUAAAAUAUUUAAAAAAACCUUCUGGCCAGCUGCUGAUUUUUUCUAUAUGAUUGCGGCCCAAGGCUCGUGAUCGCGAAGAGCAAAUUUUCCAUGACCUCAAAAUAAACUACAUGAACGCGAUAAAAUCCUCGAGAGUGCGAUGCAGCCUUUCCUCACACUACGCGAAUGCAAACCUGACACUGCGAACGCGAAGGCAAAGGCCCCUGGCCCUCAAAUCCUCCUUUGCGAAUGCGAAGCACCCAGGACUCACCCUCCACGAACGUGAAGCAUCAACCACGAACUCGAAGAAAAAAUCUUAGGCCUCCCAAAAUCCUUCUAUGAAAAUGUGGGGGACCUCCCGCGAUCGCGAAGGUCAAAAUUCCUCUACAAUAGCUGCUGCAUUUAUGCAAUUUCCUAAGUCCCAAAAACCUUCCGCCAGCCAUCCGAAACUCACCCGAGACCCUGGGACCUCAACCAAAAGUAUCAAAGCAUCCUAUGCAUCAUUCAAACUUGUUUCAAUCAACAAAACACCUCAAACAACACCAAAAAGCAUCAUUUCACAUUGAAUUCAAGCCUAAGUCUUUCCAAAAACUUCUGAAACACUCAUUCGAUCGAAAACCCAACUAAACCACGUCCGAAUGACCUGAAAAUUUGCACACACAUCAAAAAUGACAUAACAAAGCUACAAUAACUCUCGGAAUUCCAUUCCGACCCUCAGAUCAAAAUCUCACCUAUCAACCGGAAUUUGCCAAAAUACUAACUUUGCCAAUUCAAGCCAAAUCCUUCCACGGACUCCCAAAGUGCAUUCCAAUCGCACUGCUAAGACAUAAAUCACUUAACAAAGCUAACCGAAUCAUAAAAAUUCCUAUCCAAACUCAUAUACAAAUAAGUCAACCCUUGGUCAAACCUUUCGAAUUCAAAGCUUUCGACUGAGACUGUUCCUUCAAGCUCAUUCCAAUUUUUUCUGAAAACCAAAACAAACGAUGGACAUCAGUCACACUACAUUCCACGGGUAAGUCAUGCUCGAGAACUGACGAUCAAGAUGCAAAAGCUCGAAACGACCGGUUGGGUCGUUACAGGAAUAUUGUAGGAAUUUUUAUCUCCUAUAGCAAAUGUUGAUACCUUAUUUAUUUUAAAUAAAUAUUAUUUUUAAAAUUAUAUUCCAUAGCUACCUUUUUAAUUUUUAUAGUCAAAUAUUUACUUAUGGUCACCUCCUACCCUUGUUGCCCUCUCUUUCAUAAAAUACGUUGCUCUCUCUGUUUCAACCAUCUCUCUCAACACCAGUUUUCUCCAUGAAUACAAACUCAGAGAUUCUCUCUCAUCAGUUCCCCCGUCGAUCGUUCUUUUGAGUAGUCAACAAGAAUUAUUUUGCAUCUAUUUUCUUCAAGAAUUUUGAAGAAUCAAUGAUAAAGAUGGAUAAAUUGGAGUCCUUACUGAAAAAAUAGGCGAAAUUAGAAAAUAUUGUGUCCUUAGAAACUAAGAGAAACAAAUCUAAACAAACAUUAUAAGCUCUACUGUUUCACUGUUUGUCUCUAUUCAAAUGGGAUAUACAAUUGGCCCAAAAGCAACUUCAAUUCAGAUUCAACUACCGCCGUCGUUGUCAAGCCCCUAUGUCCUUCUUAGGGCUUUGCAACGUGAGAUAUCCAAGCGCACGUGGGGUAUUAUGGUAACAGGAACAGUGGUGUUUAGAGUCAGAAUUGCGGCUCGCUCGAUGAGACGAUAUUAGGGUUGUUCUUGAACAAAGACGUCAGAGUUUGGAUCUAAGCAAUUUGAAGAUAGUAUUUCAAUGUAUCUUGUUGAUUUCCAUGUAUUUCAUUGUAUUCAUUGUCUUUUUUAUUGUAUUUCAAUGUAUCUCGCUGUAUUCCAUGUAUUUCACUGUAUUCACUAUCUCGCUGUAUUUCAUGAAUGCAUUUAUAUAUAUUUUAAAUAAUAUAAUUUAUGUAUUCAGAUGUGUGUGUGUACAUAUAUAUAUNNNNNNNNNNNNNNNNNNNNNNNNNNNNNNNNNNNNNNNNNNNNNNNNNNNNNNNNNNNNNNNNNNNNNNNNNNNNNNNNNNNNNNNNNNNNNNNNNNNNNNNNNNNNNNNNNNNNNNNNNNNNNNNNNNNNNNNNNNNNNNNNNNNNNNNNNNNNNNNNNNNNNNNNNNNNNNNNNNNNNNNNNNNNNNNNNNNNNNNNNNNNNNNNNNNNNNNNNNNNNNNNNNNNNNNNNNNNNNNNNNNNNNNNNNNNNNNNNNNNNNNNNNNNNNNNNNNNNNNNNNNNNNNNNNNNNNNNNNNNNNNNNNNNNNNNNNNNNNNNNNNNNNNNNNNNNNNNNNNNNNNNNNNNNNNNNNNNNNNNNNNNNNNNNNNNNNNNNNNNNNNNNNNNNNNNNNNNNNNNNNNNNNNNNNNNNNNNNNNNNNNNNNNNNNNNNNNNNNNNNNNNNNNNNNNNNNNNNNNNNNAUACAAUUUGCUGUAUUUUUGUUGUAUUUAUUGGCUGAGAAAAAUAUUCAGCACAUUUUCUCUGAAGAUUAUUAUAUUUUUGGGGAAUUUUUCGUUUGAGAAUCUAUUUUAUAAAAUUUGUGUGUUAUAAUUGAGUUUAUUGAGUUAUAUUAGAAGUCGAUUAUGUUAAUUGAUUCCCUUUCGUUUAAAUCAAUUGUAAUCCCCUGUUUCACGUUGUGAAUACAGUCGAAUACAAAAGUAUGUCUAGCUAUAAUCUCAUGUUUCACGCCUAGAAAUGCUACUGUAUUCAACUAAAUUAUAGUGGUUUUUGAAAGUAUUAAUAUUAUAUUUUGUAGGGGAUCAUCAAGUUGAGCCGGGCUUCUCUUUGUUUUAGUUUUUAAAUAACAUUGGGAUAUUAUAACGACCCGACGGUCGUUUUGAGCUCUAGCAUGUCGUUCAAAAGCCUGAGACCAUAAACAACUUCGUUUCAAAUAUUAUGACCUGUACGCAUGGUUGGAAUUAAUUUUUGGGAAGUUCAGAGUUGAUUAGCAAAGAGAAUUCUCAUUUCGGAAGCUUAAAGUUGAAAGAAUUAACUAGGAUAGAAUUUUGAGUAAACAACCUGGAAUCAGGAUCUGAAGGUUCCAGCAAGUUCGUAUGAUGAUUUCGGACUUGGACGUAUGCCCGGAUCGGGUUUUGGACAACCCCGGGAGCGCUUUGGCGCCUAUUGUGGAAAGUAGCAUUUUGAAAGAAAUUUCAUAAGUUUGGGUUGAAGUGAAUUUCAGUGAUAUCGAUGUCCGUUUGGGAUUCCGAGUCUAGGAGCAGCUCCGCAUUGUGAUUCUGGAGUUGGGAGCACGAUCGGAAGUGAAUUUGGAGGUCCAUAGGUCAUUUUGGAGUCAUUUGGCUAAAGAUGUAAAUUUCAAGGUUUUUGAGAAGUUUGACCGAGAGUUUGAUUUUUUGAUAUCGGGGUCGGAUUCUAAUUCUGAAAGUUUGAGCAGAUCCAUAAUGUCGAUUAUGAUUUGUAUGCAAAAUUUGAGGUCAAUCGGACGUAAUUUGACGGGUUUCGGCAUCGAAUGUAGAAGUUUGAAAUUUCAAAGUUCACAAAGCUUGGAUUGGGGGUUGACUCAUGAGUUUAGCAUUGUUUGAUAUGAUUUGAGGCCUCGAUCAAGUCCUAAAUUUAUUUUGGGGUUGGUUGGUUGGGGGUCUCGGGGGCCUCGGGUGUGUUUCGGGUUGUAUCCCGCUCGUAUUUGAUGUUUUUACGUUGUUUCUUUGGACAUAAAGGGGAACCAUAUUAAGCAAAUGAGCUCCAAAUUAAGAUUUUAUUAAAACCGUUAGAUCCGUAUCAUAAUUUCGGAGCCAUAUAAAAAAGAAUCAUCGAAUUUGGACAUCGUAUGAGGAAUUUAUGCUCAUUUCCGUGUUGAAAAAGUGUUGGUUGCUCAGAAGCAGAAAUUUUCCGCAGAAACGGGACCGCGAAAAUGGAAAUUUUUCCGCAGAAGCGAAAACUGCUAGAGGUAGAGAGAUUUCUUUAAAACUCAAAGUUUGGCUCAUUUUCACUUUAUUUCUUCCAUGGGAGCCGAUUUUGGAGCAACUUUGGAGUGUCAUUUUCAUCAUCAAGCAUGAGGUAAGUGAUUUCUACUAGUUUUGAGUAUAUACAAGGUUUAUAUAUGGAUUUAGUGGAGUGUCAUUUUCAUCACCAAGCAUAAGAUAAGUGAUUUCAACUGAUUUUGAGUUAAACACAAGUUUUAUAUAUGGAUUUAGACAUGGAAAUUUGUAUAAAACUUGGGGUUUGAGGAAAACCUAGAAAAUUAGUAUUCUUAGAUUUUGACUAUGAUUAUGAGUAUGGAAUUAAGAGAAAAUCAUAUAUUCGAGUUCGUGAGUUCAUGGGAAAACUUUAUCUUCGGAAAAUUUCAGAUUCCGGGCACGUAGGCCCUAAGGAAUUUUUAUCAACUUUUUGAUCGGGUUUAGGAAUUAUUAUAAAUUAGAUUAUAAUGAGUACCUUAGCAUAUAUUAAUGGGUUUACAUAAUUAUUGGCUAGUUUUGGAGUGUUGUUGUAUUGAUUCGAGUCUUCGGAAAGGUGUGAAAUGUCGGUUAUGGAUCUUCGGAGCAAGGUGAGUCUCCUUUCUAACAUUGUAAGAGAUAAAUAUUCACAUACGUGAAUUAAUUGAUUAUGUGGUCCUAUUUGUGGGGGCUACGUACGCACGAGGUGAUGGGAGUCCAUGCGUAGCUACUAUUAUGUUUAAGUCUGGGUAGUCUAGGACCCAAAAAGCAUGUUAUACUUGGAAUAUUUGUAAACUUAUUGACCGCUUGCAAUUAUGUUUAAGUCUGGGUAGUCUAGGACCCAAAAAGCAUGUUAUACUUGGAAUAUUUGUAAACUUAUUGAGCGUUUGAAUUGCUUAAAUCACAUCAAAACAGUAAAUGGAUUUCAAAAGGAUUAAACAUCAUUUUCUUGACCGUUAAAGAGAAUUGCUAUUUCUUUGGGUAAUUAUUUUUCCUUGACAAAGUCUUGAUUGACAAUUUGAAUGCAUGCUUCAAUGUGUACUGCAUCAUGGGUGAUUCGCGAGCGAGAUGUUGUUUAUUUAUAUUUGACCGCAUCAUAUGGAUGAUUCGCGAGCGGGGUAAUAGAUGCAUCUGUGGUUCUUGCCGUUCGACACUCGGCAGUGCACAAUUUACUUUUAUGUUGGAUCGGGCCAUACAUCCUACGGUGGUUGUUUGCGCGUUGGUAUUAUUUACUUGAACUUAUUAAAGUUGUUACUGCCUCUUCAUGGCUUGAGAAUAUUUGGAAAACAAUGAAAAAGGAGUUUGGAAAUUUCCUAUAAAAGGAAUAAUUGUCUAUUGUUUUCCUGCUAUUUGGUAAAAUCAUGUUUGUAGAAAUUCAUGCUUUAAUGUAUUAUUGACAUCAUUGUUGGACCACUAGUAAGUGUCGAAGUUGACCAUCUCGUCUCUACUUCUUCGAGAUUAGACGGGAUACUCAUUGAGUACACGUGGUUUGCGUACUCAUACUACACUUCUGUGCAUUUUGUUGCACAGGUAUACGUAACUCUAGUGGCCUACUGGGCAUAGCAGCACGGAUUAUUCUGGCACUAGGUGAGUUGCAUUAUUCAAGGUGGCCUACAGCUAGUAUAGUCCCUUCCACUGUAUUGUAUUUACUUCACGUCCAUUGUAUUCCGGAUGGGUAUUGUAUUUUAUUUCCCUAUCAGUAGAUGCUCAUGCACUUGUGACACAGGGUUCUAGGAUGAUUUUAAAAUACUUUGUACUAAUUGCUUAUUAUUUAAUUUGAAUUGAAGUAGUAAUCUUUUUAAUUAUGAAAAAUUGAAGGAAAAUCCUAGAUUUCAAAAGUAUUAAAAUGAGAGUUUGAUUAAGUGAUUUGGUUGGCUUGCCUGAGAGCAGUGUCCGGUGCCACCACGACCCUUUGUGGAUUUUGAGUUGUGACAACAUGGUAUCAGAUCACUAGGUUCCCUUAGGUCUCACGAGUCAUGAGCAAGUCUAGUAGAGUCUCGCGGAUCGGUACGGAGACGUCUGUACUUAUCUUCGGGAGGUUAUAGGGCUAUUAGAAGUACUUCCCUUCUUGAUUUAUUAUCCUGCAAUUUGAUUUCUAUGAGGCUUAUGCCUUUGUUCCUUUCCUACUUAAUCUUAUGCGAUGCGAGGCGCUUGUUAUAAAUCAAAAAUUGAAGAAUUGUAAUGGCAUUACGAAUGUGGUGCGGGUGUUUCUCCCUGCGGGGUUAUUUGAGUUAUUACCGUCGCCUUGUGGAAGGAUAUUUUGUUAUUUCGGCUUAGUACCAAUAUUUCAGAGAGACUUGAGGCUAGGCAAAGAUUUCCAUGAUGCUUAUGAGCGAUUAUUCUGCAGUAUUAUUAUGAUAGUAGGAUGUUUGCCUAUGUGUCGAGACAGUGAAUGACUUGAAGGGAGGUUUACUCAGUGCAUGAUCUAGAGAUUCAGUGUUUUAUUCCCGGUAGAGGAAAGGCAAUCGGGCAGAGAAUGUUCAGGUUUGGGCUGAUAAGGUAUCGAGACUUGAUGUUUGCUAGCGUGGUGGAAGUUUUCUUCUAUGAUGAGGUGUUGUUGUCCUUAUUGAAUGUACUAGAUUCGCCGGUGUUAUGGUCUUCUACAAUUCGCCUUUGGAGCAGGAUAUUGCAGGUCAGUAUUAAAGAAGCGACUGUCAGAUGUCACGAGGCAAGGUGGUUCAGGGUCAAAUAGUCAUGUAUAAUAUUGGCAGCUUGAGAGAGAUGAUCUCCGUCAAAAUUUAAAGUUAGUAGUGAUUGUGAAUUCAAGUGCUACGAAGAUAGAUUUUAAUAAGGUAAUAACUGAAUAGCAAAGGAUGAGGAAAGAUGUAUGGAAAGUGUCAGACGGUAGCUAAAGUUCCUAGAAGGCCAGGUUUAUGGAGUAAAGGUAAAGUAGUUGAUUAAAGAAGUGAGUUUUCCCAAAGUGGGAGAGUGGCGGAGUUGCAUAUGGGCUUGGUGGUAGGAUGAUUACGCACCUUAAGGAGAGUUUGGAUCGAUUUGAGAAUUUUAGUGAUUGGUGAUUGGGGUCUACGGAUCUAAUUUGAAGUAUGGGCUAAUAUGUAGCAAAGAGAUCGGUUGUGCGAAUGUGGUUGGUGAUUCAGAGUAUAUAAAGGGGGUCUUUGCGGAAGGAUUCCGAGAAAUUUUAGUGGUUGAUUGUGCAAGGUUAUGGCUAUAAGAGGUAACGAAUUCUAGUGAAUUCUAGAGUUGUGUAAUAGUGGUUUUGAGCUAAGUGGGAGAGUCCCAACGUUUAUGAUUGGGUUGCAUAAUUAACCACUUGCGAGGUUUCUAGUUAUUAGCAUAUUGACAGGUUAUAUUCAGCUACAGGAAAAGAACAUAAGUGGUGAUUUGAACAAAAGAAUUAUUAAAUGGUGCUAUGGUUGGCCUUAUUGGCUAAUGUUCAGCCUAGGAGAAGGAUUCAAGACUUAUGCCUUGUAUGGAUGCGGGUUUCGAGGGGAGAGAUUCCGCCGGGUGCCUCGUCGAGAGGAUAUUCAUGUGUUAUAAGAUUUAUGGAGAUGCAAUCUCAGGUAAUAGAGUUAUAUACUGGGUAUCAACCACACUUCAAUACCUAGUCAAAUUCAGAAAACCAAGCUUUAAAAAAUGUACCACAUAAAUGGACUGAUUUGCUUCAAUUAGUGGAACAAUACACACCCAAGUUGAAAUAUACUAAGUUAUGGGAGUUACUUGAGCAAGGCUGGAUAAAGGCCAAUACUGAUGGAGCAUCUAGGGGUAAUCCAGGUAAGAGUUCCAUAGGCUAUAUGUUGAGGAAUGAAGAAGGGAAUGCAGUCUAUGCAUGUGGAAGAGAAAUAGAGGAGGGUACAAAUAUAGAAGAUGAGGUAAAAGCUAUCCUAUAAGCCUUAAGGUACUGUGUUGAACAUGAUUACCUUCUUAUUGACUUGCACAUUGAUUCAGUGCUAGUCAAGAAUGUACUAACAGGAGAAUGGAAUGUACCAUGGGCUGUUGUAGUACAUGUGGAGGAAUUAAAGGAGCUGAUGGAAAGAUGCAACUUGAGGAUAUCUCAUACAUUGAGGGAAGGAAACCAGCUAGCAGAUCAUAUAGCCAAUUAUGCUUUGGAUGUUGGCUCAAUGGAGUGUAAUGGAUUUGGAGAUCUGGAUGUCAAAGAAAGGAAAAUUGUGAAUAGUGAUAAAUUACAAUGCCCAUACAUAAGAGUAAAGGUUACAGGAACAUAGGAGAAGAGGAGGAAAGGAGUAGCAGGAGCAGGGGAAAUUCUAGGAGGCUACACGCUCAUCAUACUAAAAUCCAUGUGGAGGAGAAUAUGGUGAAUUUGUUUAUUGCUAACCUAGUUUUCUUUUUUGCAGGGAACGUUACUGUGGUCAUGCCCCAUCUUUUGAACAACUCCCAUUUGGUGGUAUUAGUACUAUGUACUCAUUCCAAUGGGAGGGAAGCAAGGAUGGGCAUAAGCAUGGCAUGGAAUUUACAUAAUGAAAAACUGGGCUACUAUGUGCUUAGGGAGGAGCUGUGGCAUGCUUCUCAUGAUCAAGGCACCUUAUUGAUAAGGAAUGCAACAUGCUCAACGACAGAUUGCAGAAUAUAAGAUAACAUGGAUGCAACAGAAUAUCAGUCACACUCUAACAGUAGAUUGAUACGACCAUGUGAUCAAAGGGACUACACAAGCAACACACGAUGGAAAAUAUACAGAUGCUAUACACAUACAACAUUUGCGAUAUGCAGGCAAGAUAACCCUGAAGGAAGUUCACACAUACGGGUAGGGUUCAAACUGCAAUUCUGGUCAUAGCAUACCAAGUUCAACAUAAUUCCCAGGUAUUUAUGGUCGAGGGUGUGUAUUUCAGAGGUUUCUAUGGGCUAUGACAAUGGGACAACAAGGAGUUACAUAACAGAUACUUCAGCUAGGACAAACAAUGAAUACAAGAUAGAGAAGAACUGGAUUUCAAACACAAAGAACAUCUGUGAAGUUUGGAAACAAAACAGCUCAGUUACUAGGAGUUCAAUUAGAUGGUUAGGCCAGAAAUGGAUAUUACUGUUGGAAGUGCUAGCUAGCGACAAAUUUUCAGCAAACGACAUGGAUCAAUCAACAACUACAAUCAUCACAAGGCUUAGAAUUUUCAGAAGACACAACCAACAAGACAUGCACACGAGCCAGUUACAAUGUUGGAAAUAUAGCCAGUUUUGUAACUUUUAGAUUUUUAGUCCUUCCAUAGUACAAUAUGUGAUAUCAAUUUUGAGUCUACUAUUCAAGAUUGAUAAUAGAGAUUAUAUAAGUAUAAUAGGUAGCCAUUUAAAAUUUUUAGUCACAUUGACAAUAUAUUUUUACAUUAUUUUAAAUAUAUAUAAAAUUUAGCCCUAGGCACCUUGUCUAAGUAGAUUUUUUAAAAAAAAACUCCCAACCGUUUAUAUCAAGAGCUCACUUUUUCUACAAGAUUUAGGUAGUUGGUUCGGGAACAUAGAUAGCCGGGUUAGAGAUGCUGGCGAUUGUGAAAUUGAAGAAAGAAAUAUAGGGUUGGUUAGAUCAAUAUGGCAAGCUUGCUAGCGAAUCAAUCAAGUGACUUUAUACCACAAAUGACCUAGGUAAAGAAAGUUUCAAAUCUGCCCAAUUCCAUAUUCAGUCCGGCAAGCUCGUAGCACCGGAAAAAGUUCAGAUGAAUGAAAUCAAUUUACAGGGGUACAAAAUCCCUGUUUGAAGGGAAGAUGAUGCAAAUUUUGAACGUUUUGCUAAACAACAACAACAACAACAAUUACCCAGUAUAUUCUCGCCAGGUGGGGUCUGGGGAGGGUAAUAUGUAGACGAGCCUUACCCCUACCCGAAAGGGUAGANNNNNNNNNNNNNNNNNNNNNNNNNNNNNNNNNNNNNNNNNNNNNNNNNNNNNNNNNNNNNNNNNNNNNNNNNNNNNNNNNNNNNNNNNNNNNNNNNNNNNNNNNNNNNNNNNNNNNNNNNNNNNNNNNNNNNNNUUCCAUUCGACCCUCGGCGCAUAGGAUAAAAUGAAAAGCUGCAUCAAAACAAAAAUAAAAACAAAGACAAAUUUAGAAACAAAAACAAGACAAAACAAAACAAUAGAGCAUUACUAAAUCCCGCAGAAAUAACGUAAAUAAUUAUGUAAACCUUAAAAACAUAAAUACAGUCGCAUGCAAUAAUAACAAACCGUAAUUACCAUACUAACAACCAUAAGGGGACAUAAGCUACAACACUAAUCAUCUAUGGGUGACCCUGCUAGCCCACACCCAGCCCCAAGAGAGGCGUACGAAGAACUCUAUGAGCCCUUAGCCUCCAACCCUGAUACUAGACCUCCAGACUCCCCUAUCAAGGGUCAUGUCCUCGGUAACAUGCAUUCUAGUCAUGUCCUGCCUAAUCACCUCUCCCCAAUGCUUCUUAGGCCUCCCUCUCCCACGCCGACCACCAACAAUCUCCAGCCGCUCGCAGCUCCUCACCGGGGCAUCGGGACCCCUCCUCCGUACAUGCUCGAACCACCGCAAUACCCGCAUCUUCUCAUCCACCGGUGCCACCCCUACCUUCUGUCGAAUAAUUUCAUUCUUAAUCUUAUCUAGCCUGGUGUGCCCACACAUCCACCUAAGCAUCCUCAUCUCCGCAACCUUCAUUCUCUGAACAUGGGAAACGUUUUGCUAAACAAAAAGGAAUAGGAGAAUCUUGUUACGUU